AUCUGUGCUUGUCAUUGAAGUCUGCAACAAAGGGAUCUUGUGGCAGGAUUUAGGGCUUACAUAAUCCAACAAGGAUGACCGCAGAAGUCGUCGAUCCGGAAAGCUGUUGAGGUAAGAAGGGGUCAAUGGUGGAGGCAAAAGAAUAUUGCAAAAUGGACCAUCCAAAACAAAAACCAGCAAAUGGAAUACAAAAACUGCAUUUUUAGGGAUCAUGCAACUGAGGAACCCUCUGUCACAGCAAUACCUUCUCUCCUUGCUGCUAACCCAUCCUCACUUCAACCCUAACAUGUGGUUAACUCAAUAUAAAGAAUAUGUGACCAUCUAGGCAAACCCUAACCUGCACAAAUGUUGGAACUGAAUCCAAUCUCUAGUUAGUGAAACCUAAAUCUUCUUCUAGUUGACCCCAAAACUACCUCAACAAUCCAACCUCGGUAGCUUGAACUCCUUCGAACAUAAUUUUUGUCCCAGCUCAAUGGCUAGAAUACUUUCUUCAGAGUAGGUUCCCAUUUGAUCAAUUUUGGAACAUCCCCAGGUCUCUUCAGAUAAGUCAUUUCUUGGUCAUCUGAAUCUAUUGGAGGCAGGGUAUAUCAUAGUGUUCAAUAGUAUAAGUCUUUCAUUGACACCUAUCAGCUUCAGCAGGAACCUUUCCCCUUGUACUUAAGGUCUCCUAGAGCAUUUAGGUUUUUUUUCUUUUUUUUAAUUAGUUUUUUACAUUGAAAGCUGCUUCUCUUUUCCCUCUCCUUGAUCAUGUGCAUCCAGCAUGUUGUGUCUAUAUGCAUCUUGUUGGCCUAGGUAUUUAUCUUCCUCUCUAUUUCACCAAACUUAUAGCUUGAAAAUCCCAUACUAGACUUCCUUGGUUUUUUCAAAUAGUUACGAUCUUCUUUGACCUCUUUUGAUAAUUAGCUUGACCCCUCAGAAUUUGAAAUACAGCCAAUAGGAUAUUCUAUUGCUUUAUGAGAUUGAUUCAAGCUACCUAUUGACGGCAUCAUUUAAAGUCCUACCAUCUACCUCAGAACUUUUAUGGAAACCACGAUUUCAUGUGAUGGAUUUGCUACUUCAUGCUAAAUUCAAAAAUAUCCCCUGCCAUCCUCAGCCUUCCUGUGAUUUCAUCAUUAUUUGCCUCAGUAGACUGUCAAAAGAAGUUAAUGGGAUAUUGUUCUUAUUGUUCGACAUCUCUCACAUAGUCAGAAAGCAUAUUGUUUGUUGAUGUUUGGACUGUUAUUGUCAUCUCCAAUAGCUGUUUUAAAACAUGAUAAUUUGUCCAAGAAAAAUUAUUAGUAGUUUUCACUCUUGAGGGGCACUCAGCUAUUUGUAUGCUGAUUAUUCUCCAUCUGGUCAUGUGCAUGAGUUAGAGAUAAUUGUUGACUGCAGAUGUGGAAAUGCCUGUUAAUAACUUUCUACAAAAGCUAGCUGCUACUCGUUCAUACCUACCCUCCUUGUUCUUCACGUAUUUGCUUCUGACUUCUUCAUUGGUUCCUCUUAAAGGCUACCACCUUUCUUACCACGUCAUUAUACUAAACAAGAGAACUGGAUUUGAUCUUGCAUAAUGAAUUCCAAUGCUAUUCAACUAAACUUCAGUAAAACAAGCAACAAAUCUGGAAACCAAAAUCAUAAGGACUCACAAACGUCCUCACGUGUAGAUGGGUCCUUGUUCUCUAGUUAGCACAAAAGAAAUUGAUAAAUGAUGCAACACUUCAAAAAUAACCCAAAGUACUGAGCCAGUAUCUCAUCGAGACAAAAAAAAUUCAAAGAACAUGACAAGUUCCAGCAGAUCUUAGGGUUAGUCGUCCAAAUAUACCAAUCCUUUGCACGGUCAAUCCUGAAAAAUCAAUCAGUCGAUAGGGCAGCCAAUCUCUCAAGUAUGCAGAACACCACCAAUUCAUACCACUAUAACUUGUGAUCCGAUCCAGGAAAGGCCAGAUCACCUCGCAGCACUGGAUUCCUUGCAGAUUAUUAGUACUAGCAAGGAGUCACCCAUGAUCCAGAAAGGUUCAGUCAAACUGCUUAAGUUUAUAGCAGUACAGUUAACUGCUAAGGGAAUAAAGCACAACAAGCGUUUUUUAUCAUAUCUACAGUCAAAUUGUUAAUCCAACUCUGAUUAGCACAACAUAGGUACCUAACAAUAAAGAAAAAUUGCAACAUGCAGUAGUAUAAGAGAUGCCAAUGCAAUAUGGGAAGAAUAGCGUCUCCUAUAUAAGUAUACAAAUCCAGAAACAGUUUCAUUUGCAAUAAUUUUCCUAGUAACUUGCAAUAUACAUUAUAAGAUAUGAAUGCAUAACUUCGUUAUAUAUAACAUGUCUUUUGGAGAAAGAAAAAUAGGAGGGUAAUGUUCCAUAUCCAGCCAGCCACUAUCAAUCACCAACAUCAAACUACCUAAUCAUAUAUUAAAAGAAGAGGGUAAUGUUCCACAUACAUGAGCAACAACUAUGGUAUCGUCACCCUCCUGGUCAUUUCCGACAAUCAUACCUUUCCUCCUGUGAUUCAUAUGUAAAAAUAUUAAGUUCCUUGUACCAUCCAGCAAAUUCACAACUGAAUUAAAUAAUCGAAAUAUAAAAACCAAAAAUCACUCACUUAUUAAUGUCACCAGUAACUGUACCCUGGAACUCUGUUGGCGCUUUCAGUUCCACCUUCAUCACGGGUUCCAGUAUGACAGGCUUAGCAGCAGCAUAACACUGUCAACAAAUACAUUUUAAACAUGGAUAUGUCAUAAAACCAAUAUUUGCCAGCUACACAUCUCCAGAAAUAUAAUGCAACUGUCACUCCAAGUUAUCAAAUGCAGUGCACCAUAAAACUUAGUGAUUACCAUUGUUUAGACCACAGGAACAGGUACAACAGGUAAUAACAGUUUACCUGUCUGAAUGCAUAAAUUGCUGCAAGCUUAAAGGCAAGCUCACUGGAAUCCACAGCAUGUGAUGCCCCGUCUGUGAGGACUACUCUAACAUAUUCAACAGGAUGCCCUAUCAAUGACCCCCUGCACACAAAUGAUAUAAACAUUAUAUUUAGACUUAAGGAACAAAAAAUAAAAGAAAAAAAAUAAAGAACACAAAAAGAAAUCCCUCCUGUUACUUACGAGUUGCUAGCUUCUUUGAAACCUUUCUCAAUUGCAGGGAUAAAGUUUGAAGGGAUUGCUUGCCCAAUGAGCAAAUUCUCAAAUUCAAACUUUGUAGGUGAAUCCAUUGGAAGAGGUUCAAUAUAUCUGCCAAGAAAUGUAGACAAGAAAAAACUCAGAAACGUAUUAAUUACAGUUCUUGUCAAAGCAUCCUAUGACAGACUUACAGAAAGCAUGGAGAACAGAUUUAAGUUUAGAUAAACCAGAGGAGAAACUUAGAGUGGACAUGAUAUCCAAGUCAACAACAUUCAUUAAGCACAAAUACAUGGCAUCAUAUCUGAAUGUGCACACCAACAGUAGGCAUGUCCACUCCCAUGCACUUGCCUCUGUUAAAAUAAUAUUGGUUGCAAGGUUCUAAAUACCAUGCAAAGGGGUGUCCCAGUUUCCCAGUGGAAAACAUACACCCCAUACUAAUACCCAGGACAGUAGGUGUCCCAUCCCAUCCCAAUCCAUUUCUUGCUCAUCCCAUCCUGACUGUCCCACCAGUAUUUUAAAACCUUACUUGUUUCAGCCAUACAAGAUGAAACUGCGUAAGAGGCCACAGGUGAGAAGGGAAGAGGAUCAAGGAUGCAGCAAUGUCAGUGAAAUUUUAGAAUGAGAUUCUUAUAUAUUGAUUCCCAAACACUAUUAUGUUCACAUUGUAUCAUAAACAAAUUGGAAUCAGCUAUAAACAGAUGCAGUUCAUCCAUGAAUUAGAGAAAUGGAGGGUUGACAAUCAUUAACAGUACUAAAAAAGAGUUUUAGAAGAAACUAAGGCAACAAGUUGUUAAAAAUAAUGGUUUCUACUUUUUUUGGACAUUAGUUGCCAAAUUGGUUUACACAUUCAGAAUUAGAACCAAAAGGCUUUAGUAUAAUGGCAUGGUUCCCUGGAUAAGCUUUCACAUAUAAACUCAUUAAAAUUGUCCUAUAAAAUGAUUGUUUUCAAACUCUCAGUACCAUAUAACAGAAUUUUGUUGUGCCCCUAACUUCUCUGCUCUCCAAUUAAAAUAAAAAAGCCCUUUCUUUACGGGUCUACCUUAGCCUAAUUCCAUGACUGAAAUAUCUCAAAUGUAACUGUUUUUUAUUUCGAAACUCCUAAAUAGCUGUCCUCACAUAGGAAAGAGGCAAGGAAUCACAUAAAUUAACCAAUAGUAGAGCAAAAGGUAUAUUAAAACCACUAAUAGAAGUCUCCAAGUCCUUUGGUCCAACAUUGGCAAGGUAGGAUAAAAACGAGAUUCAAAGAAAUUGCUGCAUUAAAAAAGAAUAAAGGUUGCGCCAAUGUCCUUCAUGAAGAAGGCAAAUUCAGUCUAUGGUUCAGGUCAGAUCUAGAUUUAGCUAAUUUGUUUUUAGGGUUAUUUUCAGUCAUUUAUUUGUUACAUGUAAGUUUUUAGAAGUUACGAUAGUCGAGAAUCAUCAAACAUGCACAAAGAAUCAAAAUAAGUUUACAAAAUAACAACUCCUUAGUCUAUGGUGCACCUAUAAAAAAAACCAGAAGAUAAGCAUAUGAAAGCCUUGUUCUCAUAUCAACACAAAUGAAUAUUCCAUCACCACUGCCAGUUAAGAGUGAAGCCUUAAAGCAAGCAUUGCAAGCUAGCAGAUGUCAUAGGUCUGCACUCAAGUGAUGGGUCAAUUAAAGGAUGCCCUUCAAUUAUUCACGUCAUAACAUUCUUUCACUCUGAAGGUAAAAUGAAUACAAUAACAGGUUUACUUGAGGACAAGGGCUUUCAAUUUCUUUGAAGAAGCACUAAUCAGUACCAUAAGUUUGGAGAAGCAUUUUUUAGCCACAAGAUUUGUUUAAAAAUGCCAAUCAACCCAAGAGUAAACCACUUUUCUAAAGAUAUUGUUCAUCCCAACUGAUAUACCUGCACUACAUUUUACCAUAGAUGAUAUAUUAAGGGAAAAAAAGUUAAGCUACAUGCUUUCUCUAUUAAAUCCAAUAAAAGCGAGAUAUGUAUCACAAGUGCAAAGUAACAUUCCAAAACACAACAUACCCUGAUUUAGAUACUUAAAAAGCAGGGAUUAUAAGAUUUAACAAAGAAUGGCAGAUUGCCAAUACUUGUAUACACUUACCCACAAACCCGUCCAUAUUGACCUUGACCUCCUGAUUGCUUUUUAUGCAAAUAAUCAAACGCAGCACGCUGAGUAACAGUCUCCCUAAAGUUAACACGAGGCUUUCCAACUUUUGCUUCAACCUUGGCAUCAAUACAGAAGCAAAUGUGUUACAACCACAAAUUUAAAAACUUGUUAGUAGACAACUAGUGCCUAUGAGAAUGAUAAUUAAUGUGCCAUUUCUGGAGUGUAUUUCCCAAGGAUGUCAAGACAUGUAUGCUAGCAAUACUUGGGUUGCACUAACACAUGCAAAGCCAGUGCUAGGAUAUGUAGAUGUAUCAUUUCCAACUUGACCGCUUGUUAUAUAAAAACUAAUAGAAUCUCAUACCUUAUACUCCCUUCGGAUGCGUUCAACAUAAAUGUCCAAAUGCAGCUCUCCCAUCCCAGAAAUAAUUGUCUACAGGUGAGGUUGCAGUAUGUAUUCAGUGUGUAUUAUACUUUCUAGAACACAUGGUAAGGUUUUAAAAGAGAACAAAACACAGCUGACCUGCCCACUCUCAACAUCCAAACCAACACGAAAAGUUGGAUCCUCUCUCUGAAAACGAUUUAAAGCUUUUGAAAACUGACAGAAGAAAAAAUAGUGAAGUCAUUUAGACAGACUAGUAAGCCAGUUAAAGCAAAAAAUAACUAUGAAAUAAUUACUUGUCCUCCAGAAUCUUUGGAUACGGGUGACACAGCCAGGGACAUCACUGGCUCAGGAACAUUCAUAGAAGUCAUAGUGUAUCUGACUGACCCAUCUGUGAAGGUGUCACCUGGAGAAAUGUAUGAAAGGGUUUAUGAGAGCAAGAAAAACAGAAAGUAGCAUUUGACGAAGGAAACUAGAGAAAGAAAACAUCAGCUUGUUUACCCGAAGCACAAUCUACACCAAAGACUGCAGCAAUCUGCCCAGCAUGAGCUUCUUGGAUGUCCUGUGAAUCGCAAAAAAAGAAAGAAGGAAAAAUUACAACUUAACCUCAAGCUCUGAUCCUAAGACGAGAUGACCUUUUCAGCAAAAAAAAAUCAUAAACUUGAAUAAAAUAAACUAACCUCCAUCUCAUCAGCAUGCAUCCGAACUAAACGAGGAACCUGCAUAGAGAAAAUUUCAGACUAGAGUGAGUGCAUAUACAAGUAAGAGUCUCAAAGCACAAAAGAAAUCUUAUUCUGAGAAAGAGAGGAUCAGGCGCAUAGAAGUUUCAAAAAGGAUCCAAACCGCAAAGCCAAUACAAGAAAUUGCACUAUUGCUUUGGUGCACUGCAGUGUAAGGCAGAGAAUUCUAAUUUAGCAUACUCUGUACUAUAUGAGACAAUAAAUAUUGCAUCUAUACCAGCGCUUAUUUGUUUAUAUGGAUUACCAUUACAGGCCCAAGAGAGUAUAAGGAACCAAACCUGCUGCCUAAGUAGAACUUUCCUUGUUGAAAGAGCUCAUAGAGCCCCUUGCCAACUAACACACCCCCUGCUUAAUUAGGUUCUUCCAACAAAAUUAUAAGCUUACUCCCAUUAAUGUUACUUAGUCAAAGAUGUAAGAAGUUAAACAUGAAAACAGUCAGUUACUUGCUAAUAUACAUGAUAAAUAAUUAGAUCUGAACAAUGCAGAAAAACAAAAUUGACAACUAGAUCUAGCCAGGAUUGAUGUGUGUGUCCUCAAUUAGGUAACAUAUGCAUCAUGAAUAAAAAUACAGGCUGGGAAUUGUGGUGAAUCUCCACAUAUGGAAAAAAGGGUCAGUGACUAUAUAUACCAUGCCAGGCUAGCUGAUAUCCAAGCCUAUCUUAGCUUCUUGAAAAUGAACCUUAUUAACACCAUCUAAGAAGUGGAAGUUUAAGAAAUAUCACGUAAUCAUCAAGCCAGAAAUUACAAAGUUUUCCCACAUAUAUACGGUAAAAGAUGAUUGAAUCAAGUCUUACUUUAAUCUUCUUUCCUGUGUUCACAUUGAUCAUAAAGUCACCCUUCCGUAUAACACCUUCAUAGAUUCUGCCAGAUUAAAAAACUAAAAUAAUUCCAUGGUUUAUUUAAUAAGUUGUUGCUAAUAAAGAAAUAUCAGCAACCAGAGUCAAAACUGAAUCAAUAAGAAGGUUUUUUAAACCAAUAAAGUGUACCUUAAAUAAGUCAACUGACCAAAACGCCCUUCUUCCAAUUUGAAAGCUAAAGCAACGAAUGGCCCAACCGGAGUGCCAGGUAAUAAAACCUAUACAAGUGAAUCCAACAACAAACUUCAAACCACUUUUAACACUAUUUCAAAAGAACAUGAAGGGAAACAUAUGAAAGUACAAUUUUUGCAUCAAUGAAAACUGACAGUACCUUCUCUUCCGAGUUGUUUUGGUCUAGGGCAUAGUUUUCAACUUCGGUGGGAUAGGGCAAAUAGUUAAGUACUCCAUCAAGAAGAGGUUGCACCCCCUACAGAGAUCAAAAUGCAACAGAAGAUGUAUAUACUUAAACAUCUUAACAGAAUAAAUAAUGCAUAACUGAUAUCAUUCUCCUCUGACCACCAAAGAAUUGGCAUGUACUCUAUACUACAACAUCACACAGGAAUGCUGCAGGAAAACCGAAGGAGUGGUAAUCUGGUUAAAAACAUUUAUUUUUUGAUGAAAGGUUUAAAACUUUAAUCGGCUACAAAAGAUAGAAAUCAAUCACUUUGUUAAUCUGUUUCAGGUAUAACUUUCACAAGGAACUAGCAUAACAAUUUAAAACAAACUCAAGGGUCAUAAGUAAGUCAUGAGCUCUACACUGAACUGUUCUAAUUCCACAUCAACCCACUUGGGUAUUUAUAAUAUAUUGAAGCCAUUAACAAAAAAAAUAGCAUCCCAUCCAGCAUCAAAAUUCAAUCCAUACUACAUUUCCUCUACCUGUUCUUUCUACAAAUUUUAUUAAUCAAAAUAUAGCAUCUUUAUCAGGAGUUGCUGAUAAUAUAUGUUCAUUAAAACACACAACAGGCUCACUAAUGGUGGAUGAAUUAUAUUUCUGAAGCACGUCAAAUUCUUCCCAAACAUGUCUGAAGGAAAUAGGUUUCAAUAGAAAACAAAUAUUACUCUAACAAAUGCAACAAUUGUAAUGACUAUAUUAUUGGCUUAUUUUGAUUUAUUAAAAGAACAAAACAUAUUUAUUUAACUAACAUCUUAGCAAUGAGGAAUUUACAGACAACAUAUUGCAGCAAUAAUAAUAAAAUAUCAAAGCCCAAUCUACAUCUCAAAUUAAUGAAACCAUAAGUCCAUAACACAAAUGUUUGUCCCUUAGCUGCCAGAAUUGGGAGCAGGUACACGUGCAGAUGCAGGGAGACAGUUAUCUUAGAAAUACUUUUAGUAAGGAAGCACUUAGGAAGUGAGUAUAGCUUUCAGAUUCCAUGAAUAUUCCGAAGAGGGUGCAUUAUCCUAGGUGGAAGAUUCUAGCUGCUAAGGUUUAUCCGCAACAGAAAGCAUCGGAACCAAUAUCUCAAACUCUGCAUAUUUAUGGAACAUCGCACUCUUUAGAUUCGUUCGAAAGAAACCAUAAGACAGAUCAUAACAAAAUUUUGUAUUGAACUACUACUCUUAUGCCAAUCAUGUGGAAAUCAACAUUUUAGACAACAAUUUUCAAACUCUUCACGUUUUUUGCACAUGAAAUUACUGCAUUGCUUCUACAUUUUGAACUAUAUUCUGACAGGGAAACCAAGGUUAACUGUAAUGUGACAGAAUAAUGCCGUAACCAAAGAGAAGCGAGAAGCCAGCUAGGGAUAAUCAUCUGAAUCAAGCUUAUAAAAGCACAUAAUUGUGCUGAAAAUAAAAAAGACAAGUCCAGGUAUUGUACCCAAAAAAAUGAAAUAACAGACUGUAAGUUAAAAGAAACAACUAAAAGUGUUCAAGCACCUUAUUUUUGAAUGCACUUCCCAUAAAAACAGGCACGAAUUUCCGUGCUAUUGUGGCCCUGCGGAUUGCCAUCUGAUAAGAGGAACAUUUAAAAAAUCAAUACAUAACGAAGAUAGUGACAGCCAAAUAUCAAGAUCUUUCUGCUAUUUAGAAUGAAAAAAACAGAAAAGCAAAAGACCUGAUGAUAUUCAACAAAAACGAUAAUGGGACAUCCACAUAGGAGGAUCAUUUCAAAACAUAUCUAUCAUACAUCUACAAGGUGUGGAAAGCUUUUAACAACCAAUCACCUAAGAUGCAGAACAAAGUAACAACUUUCUGUUAACAUUGCACACAAAUACGCACACAUCCAUGUGCGCACAUAUGUAUGCAUGCCAUGUCUGCAUAUAUGUGUGUGCACACAAGCAAACACACAGACAUAUACAUAUCACGCACACCCACAAGUGCACAUGCACUACAUAAUAGCAAUUUCUUCCCAACACUGAGGUUGCAAAUUGCAGAAAAGUAGGCUUGCCACUAAAUUCUUGGGUCCUUUCAGUCUUCACGAUUAUCAUGAAGCAACCAACUUACAGAUCAGCAGCCAAGUGGUAGAGUUAAUAGUAGAUUAGAUAUUCAUGGCAAUGUACCUUUGUCAUUUACCAUAUUGAGAUGGCUGCGAAAUGUGUGGUAGUUAACAAUGCUAGUCAUAAAUAAACCCAAGAAAAAAGGAAACAUCCUCAGAGCAAUAUCUAGACAUGACUCCAUCAAUAUUGUAUAAGGCUAAUUAGAACAUCAAAUAUAACAGCCUCAGUGAAUAAGAACUAGACAAAGUCAUAUGAAGUCAAAUGUGAAAAAUAAGCGAACUGUCUAAAAAGCAUAUUUUUCAAGAGUACCUUGAGGUCACUGGAUGAUAUUGGUUCAUCAUUAAGAAAUGCUUCAGCAAGCUUAUCAUCCACUUCAGAAACAACUUCAAUUAGUUCACGCCUCUUUUCAGUGACUAGUGCUUCCAACUUAGGAGGUAUAUCUUCCGUGACAACUUUCUCACUGCAAAAAAUAUAGCAAGAGAGAAGAAAGGAAGAGACAAUUACAUACGACAAAGAAAUUCCAUUUCACAUAAUUAAUAAUAAAAAAGUAUAAUGGGCGCACCCACUGGCACCGUGGAAGUAAUAAGCUUUCAAUUCAACAAGAUCCGCAAGGCCCUGAAAUUCCUCUUCCAACCCGAUAGGAACUUGUACAGCUGCACUGUGAUGCCGAAGCUUAGAUCUUGCCUGGAGAAGAAAUUUCUAAAUUGUAAUCUACUGCUUAUAAACUCGCAGCUUGAUAAGAAACAAGAAACUCAAUGUAGCAGGAAUAGUGAAUAGUAACAAAAUAUCAAAAGAUCUGUUGUGGUUCAGUUAGUGCAUGAAUUAUUAACCAUAUACUUGACUCAAGCUGCCACAAAGGAUUAUCGUGUAGCUCAAAAUCAGGGGAUGCCAUUUUGUGAUGAAAAGAGGCACUCAUCAAAACUACUCAUAUAUAUUUUAAGAUAAAACAUAGGGGAAGAAGAAGAAGAACAGCAAGAGAGCAUACAAGAAGGGAUGGAAGAAACCUAGAUGAAAAAUCUUGCUACCAACUAUCAUAAUUAGUAAAAGAAAAAAAUCUGCAGAGACCAGAUGAUCCAUGCUGAAAUAUUUGAGAUACUCUAGUAUUAAAUUGCUUGAUCAUCAUUAAGAGCUGCAUGGUUGUAGAAUUUUAUGUAAGCACCACUUGUAAGUUCCUUAUCCAUGGAGAACUUUCUAGCUGACAUUUGAUUAAAACCUUGAAUGCUCGUGUAAGGUGAUUGCUAAGGCAAAAGAUGUUUCAUACAAGUUCUAGUAAUAUCUGCUUAAUGCCAACUAUGUUUCACAUGAUUCACAGCAAAUAAUCCAAAAGAAGGACCUCCAAAGAGAAUCAAAGAAAAAACAUUGAGUUAAUAACAUAAAUAGAAUGCUCCAAUGGUGGAUGCAAUGGGCAAAUUUACACAAUCAUAGUAGACCACCAGACACCCAUGACAGGCAAAAUAGUAUAUGCAAAUCUAGCCGCAUUCACAAUGCAUGUUGUCAACUUGUUAUCCCUGAAAGCCCCUAAAAAUUCUAUGAUAUGCUUCCAUGUUGACAUAUCCUGUCUCUCUUGAACUGUUAUAAGAGCUAGUAACAGUAACCAAGUGCAUAUUCCAUCUUUACAAUGUACUUCUAAAGAAAACUGGUAUUAUAAAAAUUGAGUAUACAAUCAGAAAGAAUAUUCAACAUAAGCAGAAAGCAAGGAAUGUCAUUACCAUGGAACCAACAAAGUUCCACUGAGAAAUUAAAAUGCUGUAAAUUGUUCAAAAUGCCAUAAAUUGAUCCAUCAUAGACAAAAUAUUGUGCAUAAAGUAUUUUUCUUGUGAACAUUAAAAAAAAAAUACCUGAUUAAGAACCUUCCAUGGAUCUGCUCCCAUUCGAUCUAACUUGUUAAUGAAUGCAAGUCUUGGAACUUCAUAUCUCCUCAUCUGGCGAUCAACAGUAAUUGACUGGCUUUGUACGCCUCCAACACUACAAAGGACAAGAAUAGCUCCAUCUAGAACUCGAAGAGCUCUCUCAACUUCAAUGGUGAAAUCCACAUGUCCUGGAGUGUCUAUUAUAUUAAUCUGCAAUGAGAUUACAAUGGCUUUGUCAAUAAUCUAUAUUAUUAAAUUAGUGUUGAAAGAUUAAUAAUAUUUACAUAAUCUCAUAGUUGAUAGAUGCAUAAGCUUACAAUAUGGUAACUUAUAUUAAAAGUAACUCUUUGCAUUACCCACAUGGGCUUAUUGAGUAUACAUACAAAGACAGCAUUUCAAGUCCGAUUACUCUAGUGAGCAUAUAAUUUUUGAAUGAUAAAUAGUACAAAUGAAUCUGGUUCAAUAAGUAUAUAUAUCCAUUUACAUUAACAAGUACUUUAUUAAAUGCAUUAUAGGAAAGUAAUGAAAAAUAAUAACUUACAACAUCAACCCCGAGUUGACACCAAGUUGAUAAGUAAAGCUUGUUAGUUGUAAUUAUAAUAGACACAUGAAUAAGUAAUUUAGCAGUGCCAAGCAGCAUGAAAAAGAAAUGGGAUCUUUAAAGACACUGAGUUUCUUAGGGCAAAGAAAGAGGUUCAGUAAACCAAAUUGCCCAACAAACCAUCUCAUGAAGAAAAGUUGUUCAAUAUCCAAGCUUAUGUUAUAUAUGACACUAAGCUUACAGAUUAAAAUAUAAAUCCAACUUCAGCAUAAGUACAACAUAAGGGCUCCACAGGAACCCCUCAUCUACUGUCUUUGUUGUCACCAAGAUAUUAUUAUAUUCCUCUUUAGAGCCUCUUAAAAAUUUAAAAGUAAUGCCAGAUUGAAUAACAUUGACGUUAAACCUAAUAUCCAAUUUGCGAAAAAAGUUCAAGAUCUUUUGAGUUCCGCCAAACAAGUGGUACAACGAUAUAUGAAGAGCUUAGAAUCCGAAAUUGAAACCCUUGAUAAGGAAAAUGAAAAUUUUUGGUAAAUACCACCAACUCGAGAACUCUUUGCCAUCAAAAUUCACAAAACUUGUGCAGACGGACAUAUAGUUCAAGGCAUUAGCAGACAUAGAAAAACCACAAACAGAUUCAAAAAUAUCAACAGAUUGAAAGGUAUAAUUCAUAUCCAGAAAUCCAAACCAAUUUUCAUAUCUCAGCGCCAAGGAUUUCCAAGAAAAGUUCCAAUCUUUAAUCCAAGAAUCAAUACCUGGUAAUCGUUCCACUUGCAGUAGGUGGCGGCGGACUGGAUGGUGAUUCCCUUCUCCCUCUCGAGGUCCAUGGAAUCCAUCUUGGCGCCGACUCCGUCCUUCCCGCGGACUUCGUGAAUCUCGUGGAUCCUCCCCGUGUAGUAGAGGAUCCUCUCGGUGAGGGUCGUCUUCCCGGAGUCGAUGUGGGCCGAGAUCCCGAUGUUCCUCAUCCUCUCCAUCGCCUCCUUCCACCAUGCCUCCUUCUCCUCCUUGGCCCGCGCCGCGCUCGACGUCGCCAGCCCCCGCCGGCUGCCGAGAGGGGCGCUGUCGAGGAUGAGGACUGCGAGGGGGCGGAGCGGGGAGAGAGAAUUCUUGUACCCCCGGCGGAGGGAGGAGAGGAGGCCGAUGGCGGACGACCUCGCCAUCCUCGUCUGUGAUCUGAGGCUUUGGUCCGACUAAAACCCUAAUCGGCUCUAAACCCCGCACAUCACUCCCCUUUGUUCUGAUGGACCCCAAUAGGGGUUGGCUCGAAUAGGGUGUUGCAUGCAAAAGUAAUGCCGGCAAAACAAUUGUUCAAAGUUCAAACUCCAAAGUCCAGACGAACAUUUUUACAGAUGAACCGUUGUAUAAUGUUGGUAUUAAAGAUAAGUUCAUCAUGUAAAGCAUAUCCGCUCUAAUGCUCAUUUUGUCAUUAUUUUUUCUCAAAAAAAAGAUUAUCACCCCACCAAUAUGUAUAGACAAGGUACAGACCUAAAUCAUUGGUAACAACCUUCCAUAACUUUGGCAAGUAAGCCAACUGACGACCAUCUCAUUUUGCUAUUAUUCAGCACAAAACAGCAAUUUUAGAUGACUCCUUUUAUACAACUUAUAAAACUCUCAUAUGUACACUACUAAUAAUUGAGAGUAUUACCAAGUUAUAUAAAUAAUGAAAAGUAUUUCCAAUAAAAUAGGGUUCCCAUCCUUCAUGACUUUUUUAAGGCACAUAAUCUUGAAUUUUAAUGAGGGCAAAAUAAAAUAAAAAAUCGCACAUUAGAAACGGUGGACAUAGCAUAUUUUUAUUAAGGCCCCUCCAAUUAGGGCUGGAAUUGGAUCAAGUCGGGCCAAAUCACACAUUGGCCCAAGCCUAGCCUGACAAAUAUUUUGGGCUUUAGGCUCAGCUUAAGCCAGCAAUUUCUUUCCAAAUCACAUGCCAAGCCCAAGCCCAGCCGUAGCGUAAUCGAGCCUUUCCCAAAUAUGCACUAAAACUGUAGUGCUUGCUAUAGAGCAAAGAUACGGGGAGUUCUUAGCAUCUUGGCAGCAUAGUCAGCAAUAUAGUAAAAAUUAGAGUUGGUUGCAUAAUAUCCUUCUAAAUAUUAGAAUUUUUACGAACACUCUUCCAAAAUUAAUAUUUGCAUGUAUACAUUUAUAAAACACUUAUGUACCCACGUCAUCUAAUGACAUUAAAAAAUUAGCAGUUUAAAAUUGAAAUAACUAAAAUAUCUUUAAUGGUAGACAUGCAAAAAGAAACAUUUAUGAGGGUAUACAUGCAAUUAGCAACUUUGUAAGGGUAUUCAUUCAAUUUUACAUAUUUCACAAGAUUUUUAUGCAAAAAAUUCUAAUUUUAUUUUUGUUUAUCCCAACUUGUUUAAACACUCAAAUUAGUUUAGUACAUGCUCCUCAAUAUUUUCUAUAAAAAUAUUGCUUGGAAAAAAAAGAUAGAUUCGAUGACUAGAUAAUAAAGAGAGUUAUGAAAGUUCUUUCACUAAUCAUAAGAUUAUUUUACUUUAUUCUUAUUCAUUUAUAACAACCAUCGUAUCUUACUUUAUCAAAAACUAGCUUAUAAUAUUUAUUGUUAUAGAUGUAUAUACAAGGGCGCAUCAAAAUGUAGAAAAGGAUUAGAAUUUCUUAAAAACACACUGUAGAUUGUAAUGCUCGAGCUUCCUUGCUAUUGCUAUACUCAUGGAUAGAAGAACAACAUUAAUUAUCCACGAACAAAAUUAAUGAAAAAUUUCAGAACCCUUCAGACUUGCUAACAACUUCUGCAGCUAUAUGGUAGAGAGUUAUCCCUUAUAUUGUGUAUCUUGAGCCAUUUUUCUUUAGAGCUUCGAUUUCUUAAAAAAAGAAAAGAUCUAGUAUAUAAGAUUCAUCUUGUCGCAGCAAUUUUAAAUCAGCUACGAACUUAUACAUAAAUUUUUUUUCAGUCUUAAAAGAUAAAUAUUACAAAUCUCAUAUACUAAAAAAUAAAUACCGCAAAUCUUUUAUAAUAUUUUUUUAAAUAAUCCAUAAAGCUAAAGGUAGAAUCUGACCAUCAUCAUAUAAAAAAGGAUAUAAUGAAGGAAGAAGGGAGAGAGGAAUGCCUACAGUGGAGAAGAAAGUCGAGAAAACGGUUUUGAUUUUAGAUAGAAAAGUAAAAGAAAGGGAUCGAGGGAUGAUGUUAGUUCCAGCGAGACUCAUUAAUCUGUUACCUGCUUCAGAAAUAAAAAAAUAAUUUUAUAAUUUUAAUUCAUUUUAGUUUAAAUAAAUAUAAUUGGCUAAAUGCGUCAACUGAAUUAUGUCAAAAAUAUUCAUACAUAAAUAGUGUUUUGUAAGACCAUGCACACAAAUAUUAAUUUAAAAAAAUAUUCAUGCAAAUUUCAAUAUUUAGAAAGAUAUUUACGCAAAAAUCUAAGAACUUUUUCACAUAUAUACCCUCGUGAAUAUAUAAAAUUUCAUAAAUACCUCUACAAAAUUACUAUUUAUAUGUAUACCCCUAUAAAUAUUUAUUUUUGCAUAUUUAUUCAUUAAGAAUAUUUCAGUCAUUUUAAUUUUAAACCGCUAGCAUCUUAAUAAUAUUAGAUGGAAUAUCUAUAUUGCAAAAGAAAAGAAAUAAGAAGGAUAUACACACAAGAAGUAUUUUAUAAGGAUAUACAUAUAAAUAGCAAUUUUGAAAAAAUAUUCAUGCAAAUUUCAAUAUUACGAGGAUAUGUAUGUAAAAAAUCCUAAAAACUAUCUGAAAUAAAACAAGGGAAGUACUCACAACAACUGACAAUUAGAGCUGCAGCGAGCUGGCCGAAUCAGCCGAGUAUCAGUAUCCAUACUAACAAAAUUGAGGUGUUUCCAACUAUUAUGCCGCACAAAAAUCAGUCAUUUUUCCUUCUUACCCUAAGGAUGGUGGUUAGAAUCGAUGGGUACAAUUCCCAAGCGUACAAGUUACAAAAUGAUGGACAAGACCAGCUCGGUUGCUUGAAUAGUCUCAUGAACACGUAUAUUGCCGAUUUGAUUAGAUGCAAUUGUUGUGCCUCUCUUUUCGCGUGAUUGACCUCCCCAUUCUGAGGCGCCGAGUUGUGAGCGCAUCAAGCAAGACAUCCAAGGCAUUCUCCACUGCCUCAGCCUGUUUAUCCAAUCCAUACACACUGAGCUCAGGACGUAGGUGCAGUUCUGAGAGAAGACCAGCAGCAGCUGCUGCUGUACAGGUAUGAUCCCACGAUGGUUGGGGCCUGUUUUUAUGGGUUUCAAAAAGGAUCGAUCAGAAGAUAAAUUGAUUAAGAUAGUAAGAGAACAUGAAUGCUGAAGAAUAAUUGUACGGAGUAAGAAGAAUAAAUGGUGCGCUCCUCACCGUAGCUUAUGCAUCGCGGAAGCACCCAGGGUUGAUAGAGAAAUACAAGGUGGAUCUUCAUCUUCCCAUAAUGAUAUCCAUCGGUCCUGCAAACAAACCACUUAGUUUCUAUAGAAAUAAGUUCAAUGAAGCUAUGCAAGCAGUUCCUCCCAUUCACACCUUCCCCCCCCCCACCACACACACAACAAAAAUAUCAUAGAGUUUAUGUCCAUACGACAAUCAACUAAUAGCCCUGCUACAUUCUUGUUGGUCCAGUUCUUAUCAAAAGUAAGCUUUUGAUUAAAUGCUUGCAGACAAGCAAAAUUUUUAGUAAAAUUAUGCGAUCCACAAAUUGUGACUUAAAUGACCAGCUAUUCGUCCAUCACCCACAAGUCAGCAGGAGACACUAUCCAUGAGGUGGUCAUAGUUGGAAAAAAAGGGCUCUUCCCAUUUACUAAUUCAAUAAUUUGUCUACUGUUGAAUACACAAUCGCUAAACCAGAUCAGUGAUUGUCAUAAAAAAGAUUCCUAGAAGCACCACGAGCACCAGAAGUAUGUGGACAUAAAAUAGAAUCCAAUAGCAGAAGCAAUAGCCUGGUAUGGACAAAAAUUGGCCACCCCACCCUACAAAAGAACAAAGGGGGAGAAACAGCCAAACUGGAUCAGUCAUAAAAAAAUUGUCCAUUAUAACUGAAAACAAAGUUCUAGGAAGUCCACGAGCCACUUGAGGAACUAGAAUGAGGAAGUCAGAGAAAUGGUAGGACGGAAGUAUCAAAGUGGUGAUUGAUCUUAAUAUGCUUUGUCCCCUUGUAAAUAAUAAAACCAUUAGCAAUCUUAAUCACAAAUACUCUUGUCAUAACAAAUAAGAGUUAUAAAUGCAACAUGUCUGGUAGGAGAAAAAGCAGUGGAACCAGAAAAAAAUCUCUCUGGCACUACUGGGCCUCAAUAGUAGUGUCGAAAUGAACUAUAUUUCUAACAUUUCCAGACAGUAUAAUUUUCUAGGAAGACUCAAAAGCCAAAUACUGAACCAUUAAUCAAUAGAACCACCAGCCAGCCAAUGUCAGGAGUAGCUUGAAGCUAAAGCAUACAGGCAGAAGAGAAGAAAAAUGAAGAAAUAACACUCUUGUGGAGGUAUCUAGAAAUGUGAAAAAUGAAGCCAAAUUGAACAGAGCAAGUAGCGCUAACAACAUGAUCUAAUCGACGCAGGUUUAGAAGGCAAGACAGGAAAGAAGCUUUAGACAAUCCUCAAUUAGUAAUAUUAAAAACACAGGUAACAAUCAAGUAUUCACAACUGAUCUGAUUAAAAGGUGUGCAUCUUUGUUGCAACAAGUCCAUCGACAAGACAAGCACAAGAACUACAAUGCAAUGAAGAGGGCCAGGGUCUUUCAUCACAAAAUGAUGCUAUGGAUGACAGAGGAAGAUUGUGGAGGCACGAUCAUUAACUAUGAUCAUAUCAUCAACAUGAAGCACAAACUGUAAGGUGACAAGAAGAGCAUUAAUAGAGAAUUGAAAGAGCUCAAAACAUGCUAAAAGUGCCCAGUUGAGAGCAUAGAUAACGCAACAGAGGGAACAAAAAUUACAAGGUUAACGCAGACGAACAAGCAACGACUAUAUGUAGAUCUCCUAAAAGAGGAUACCAUCAAGGAAUGCAUUCAUCAUGUCCUCCUAAUACAAUGGCAAAUCACAAUGCUUUGGCAAAAGGUUUUACCAUAAUCAAGGCUUCAGGUGGCAAUGCCGGUUGGUGCACCAGCAUAUGUUACACCUGCCCGAAAUAAAAAGAAAUUAAAAAAAUAUAUUGAAAAUAUUGAAAAAAAGAACUAAGCAGCGCACUGCAAACUAUGUCAAGUGCUGGUACUGGCCCAGCAUGCAUGGUUAUAAGCAAAUACUGAAACUUAAGAGAAUACAAUUUAAUUACUAGCCAAUCAAAUUGAUCAUAAGACAGCAAGUCAUUUGUUCAAGGCAAUGAGGAGUGAAGGACUAUCUAGGUGAGAUGAGAAAGGUGUUUAAGGUGAUGCAAUAGAUGAAUGGCACAAGAUGCUCUCAGGAGGAAGAUAUAAUAUAGUCGAGAUGCCUAAAGAUGACAAGAGUAGAUAUGAAUGAUGGAGGUGUACAAACUGAACAGACCUUAAUAACAAGGCAAUAUCAGAAGAAGGCUAAGGUUCUCAAGAUAGGCCACAAAAGCAAGAGAUAGGAGUACAGGAAAUAUUUCUUAGAAAAAUAAAACACCCUUUUACUACACAUUGAACCAAGAACUGCUUCCAAGUAGCAAACAUCUUUAUGGAACAAUGCCAAAGGCAACUAUCUACAACCAUGGAACAGGGAAAAUAUCUAGUCAUAGUGAAUAGUUAGAUAUCACUUGACAAAACUUAAUUCCUAUAGACAAGUAGAUCCUUCAAUCAUAGACAGGCCAAUGAAUUCUAGCUGAAAAUCUGGUGAGGUUGCAGUAGCUGAUAAUGAUUUGGGUGCUAAUUGCAAAGAAUUCCUGGUACCAGUUUGACCCAAUGGAGUGUUGAUAGCUUAGUCGAUCGUCACAAAAGGUCUACAAAAUCUCCUGUUGAGACCAAUAAGCCAAGCCCAGCUUGCAUAACACAAAAUUUGAGGAGCAACAAUUGGUCCAUUGAAUGGCUGCACCCAUGCAAAAGAAUCCACUAACUGGUGGCAAGGUGACUAACAUCAAUAACAAUGGGCUAUGGCCCUCAAAUGGAUUAUGCAUACUACAAGAGAAAGUACAUCCACAUAUGUACACAAGUAUCACCAGCAAAUUUCAUAAGAACUAAAAGACUGAUUUAUGACUAUUAAAAUGAAACAAUUCUGUAUUUCUGUUUGUCAAAGAAGAUAUUCAGCCAACAUCUUGGAAUGCUGUUCUACAAAAAUGUGGGAAUUUACAUUAGCUGAUCCAAUCCACAUAGAUAUUCUUGAGAAUCCUACAUGAGUGUACAAAAAAAAAAAAGAAUCCUACAUGACUAAAAGUUGUGGCUACCAAGUACAAUGUUAAUGAUUUUAAUCAUAAAAAAUUUCAAACUCGACAAAUAGUAACUGAACUGUUCAUAUAGAAAACCCACAGACCAGGACAGUUGAAAAUUGCAAAGGAAAAUGCAGAACAAGGCACUGCUUCAGAGUUGAAAGACAAUGCACAGGUGUACAGAAUCUGUGCCUGGAUCUGAAGCCUAUUUGUCAAACAGAUAGGAUUGAGUUUAUGGAUUCAUAGUUAAGCAUUAACAUGCUUCACAGUUGAUUUCUUGUAGAGACAUAAUACUUCUCCAGGACUAAAACCUAUUGCAUCCAAUAAGACUUCUGAUUCAGUGUAACCACAUGUUCUGUUCUCUAACACAACAUUCAGCAUUGUGUCCAUUGUCAUCCAACGACUGCAUCCUCAGAUUCUAUGUUCAUGUGAUUUCAUGAUGCAUAUUUCUAUAUAUUGGCUACUGAUAAAGAAUAGUACAAUAUGCCCAUGAGCAUGAUCUUGGCAACAUGUGGACUUCACUAAAUCAUCCUGAAUCAAACAUGCUCAGGGCCCUUCCCUAAAUAAAAGGUGAUUAAAGGGUCUUCCCUCUUUCAGAAUCCCGAAAAGAGCAAGUUCCAUGCAAAUAAUAUGGCACACUUAAGGAUAUACCCGACCACUUAUUGGCAAGAAUGGUAAAAAAACCAAGUAUGAACAUUGGUCAGAGGCUGGCUAGCUAAGCAUAAUAUUUAUUUGACAUAUAGUGAGCUUUACUUUGAACUAAUAUUUUUAGAGACUUGAUAGCAAAAAAACUAUCCAUACGGUGUCACUUAGAUGCUCCAUAUACCAUUGUCCAGUAGCUUCUCUUCAUUCCAAGUAACAGUCAAACAACUCUAACAUCACAAAAUUUAAAGCUUUCCAACAUAAGCUAUGCAUAAUUGUUUUUACACAUCUGAAAAACCUUUAAGAAAAAUAAUAAUAAAGGUGAUUUAGAAACAAAAAUCUUGAUCAGGAUGUACCUUUAAACGUCUGUACAUUGCAGCUGAAUUGCUCCACGUACCAUCAAUCAAAACAAAGUUUAAAGGCUUUUCCUCGAGAACCUGUAAAAAUGUGGUUAACAAUUUAUCACAGAAUCAAAACAAUAUGGUUGAGCAGUAUCCCUUAUAAAGGCACAGAAAAUUAACAACUCCAGGCAUUCCAAUGCUUGCACAUAGCAAGCAAAUUUCGAUUAAAAUGAAUACCAACAUGCAAGGCACAUACAUGGACGGUAGUCACUACAGAAUAUAGAGUAAUGUGCAACCUUUCCUCUUCUGGAGUUUACACUUGUCCAGUUUAUUAGCAUACCAAAAAAAUUGACUUCAGGCCUGUGACAAAAUUAAGAUCACUUUAUCUAUGUAUAUCUCUUGCCUAAUUUUAACAGUUCACAACAAAAUUAGACCUUAAAAUUCUUCACUAGGUACAAGUUUAUCAUGAUAUUUUUUUUUGUGCUGUAUCAUAAAAAGUUCUCUUAAAGAACAAACUGAAAUCAUAUUCUUCAAAGCCACAUGACACUUCUAAUUAGAAAAUAAUACUUUGCCAUUGUGUCAUUUUUUUCCCUUGAAAAGGAAUAGAAUUUCAAGAUUCUGAGUUUAGAUGAUUUGGGUUGUUAAAAAUGAAAGUUUAUGUAUCCCAGUUCACUAGAAUCCACAAUUUAGAUAACUUUACUAAGAGAAAAAACCCUAAACAACUGAUUGGAGAAUAUGUGCAACUCCCCUUUCAUGGGCCCACAGCAGGGGAAUCAGUUAAUCUGCUAUGUCUCAUUCUGCUUCAUUUUGUUAGCAAUGGCAGGAGAUGAGAAUAUGUUGGGCAAUGAUUUUCCUAAUCACGGAUUGCCGAACCAACCCAAACUGGGCGGUUCAGCCCGUACCAAACUAUAAUGAAGCCGGCCUAGGAUGGGUCGGUCUCUCAGGUUAGUUUGGCUCUAGUUUAUAAUAAAAACCCUCCUAAUUGCACCUCUAUUUGGUUCGACCCUGGUUUAUAAUAAAAACUCUCCCCGUUGCGCCUCUAUUCGGCUUCGAAAGCCCUCCCGAAUCUUGAGUUUCGUUCAUUCACUUGCUCACGAGGGUUCCGUGCUCAUCUCGCCCUCAUCGGCCGCCGUUGUCACUCCCAAGUAAGUGUCACCGUCUCCUCCUCUCUCCCCCCUCCCCUCCCCUCCCCUCCCUCCCUCCCUCCCUCUUGGUUAGGGUUUCUCUCUCUUCUCUCUCCUCUCUCUUCACUCUCUCUCCCUCCUCCAUGGUGGCCCUCCUCCCCCAGAUGCCAGCACAUCCCCUCUCUCUCCCCUCCCUCCCUCUCUCUUCUUCUCUCUCCUCCCUCUCCCUCUCUCCCUCUCUCCUUUUUCUUCCUCUCUCUUUCUCCCUCUCCCCCUCCCUUCUCCUAUUUUCGGCACACCCAUACAGUACCAAACCAAUCGCCAGCCGAUACAACCUCCGAUACCAGCUCAACUAACCUUGUUCCUGAUUCUUUCUAGAAAGACAUGAUUAAGUCAUAUCCAAUAAUUUUGUUGCAAUAACAAUGUGUCAUCUAUAAAUAUAUAGAUUAACUAUUCAUAGCUUUUCUGGCAUAAGAAUAUUUGUUAACAUGGAGUUGCAUGAAAGUAGAAGAAUAGCGAUGCCUAUGCUCGUAAACAAUUUUUACAUAUAAAUUCACAAAAUUGAACAUAUGAUAGGACCUUCAACAAGGACAACAUACGGAAAAUACCACUUUUUGAUCUUUCAGGCCUGUAGAUGGCCCUUCAAAGAAGAUAUCCUGAGCUGACUUGGGAGAUAAACUCUUAUUGGGAUAGAGAAACCACACCAUGUUUUUUCCUGAAACAGAAGGAAAUUUCAUAUUGGUCUGAGGCCAUAACAGCUUUUAAAAAAGCAUAAAUAAACUACACAAGAUUGGGAAGCAACUGCAAAUGAUGAACUCAUAGUCAUUCUAAUUAUCCUGAUAAUCGUUAGUUCAUAAAGUUGCUACAAUGGGCAUUUGAACAUGAAUGUAAAAUAAAAUAAACUUUAUCCACUUAGAUACCGAUAAAACUUACAAAUAUGGGUAACUUAUAAAAUGCACUAAGGAAUGUAGCAUUUCAAAAGGAGAAAAAAAGAAAAAAAAAAAAAGACAUGUCUAAUGCAUUCAGAUAGGUAGGUGCAUUACUGAAUGAAGCUUCCACAAAGUCAUAUUCAUUGUUAGCUUGAAUUAUAUAAACCACUCAAGUAACAAUGCUAUGAGAAAUAUUAGGUCUAUAAGUCUAUUAUAUCAAGCCACAUAUUUUCAUAAUGGUCCUCCAACUUAUAAAAGGCAUUUUACCUUUUAUGCAAUAUUGAGAACUAGAUGCAUAAAGGUCAGCGUGAAGAGUUCUGCAUGAUCUGUUAAAUGCAGCUUUUCGAAGUUGAACAAAAUGAAGAAAAAAAUGAUUUCAACUAUUCACGCACUGCAUCGUAAAUACCGCUAAAAGAUUGUAUACAUUAAUUUUCUACACAGAUUGUGUUAAUAAAGAGUCUAUGGACGGGAAGAUCAACAUGAAGAGUCAAGAGUCUAUGGACUGGAAGAUCAACAUGAAGAGUCAGGUUGCAGAUAUCACCAGAAUGCAACUAUUUAAUUGUUAAAUUGCUACUAGCCAUGAAACACCUAACUAGUUCAGAUUUCUACCACCUUCACAACUGGUUCUUGUCCAUCAGGAAUUCAUACAUUUCAAAAUUGAUAGAUGCAAAUGCAUGUGCAAACCUGAAUACCUGAAUGCCUGAAUGCAUCCCACAUGAUUUCUUCAUGUUCAUGGAUGCCAAAAAGGCACAGAGUUGCAGCUUGACUUCCAAAUGUUUGCCACAACAACUUUCCAGUGUUAUUUUGGCGUAAAAAGUCCUGCAAGAAUGAGGGCAUAUAUAGGAUGAUAUUCCCAUAAGGAAAAUGAAAGGAUAUAUUAGAAACCAAUGCAGGUAACAGGUAAUAAGAGACAGACCUUUGGAUGCAUAUAGAGCCAAAACUUUAUACCACACCACAAAGAGCACGGAACAAGUUUCGAACACAUGCAAUCUUCCAUGGGAAGCCAACACUGCAAUAUGAUGAUUAGCAAGCAAUAAAGCUUCAGAACCACAAAACACCUUCUCAAACAAUACAAGCAGAAGAAAAAAAAUCUUACCUAAAGACAAACACAUGGCCAAAUUGCAAAAGAUGACAAAGAAGACAGAAAAAUCUUAUUAUAUCGUGUACAAGGCAUAGUUAGAUAUAGUUGAAGUAUAUGAAUUGAGACAAUUUAUUGACUAGGCCCUUCAUAACUGGCAACUGCCCUCAGUUACAGAUUUAAAUUAGAAUUCCCUAGCUGAUAUUAAGUUGAGAUCCAGUAAUAAAUAAUUUGCAAAUAAUGAAGUGGAACCCAAAGGGGAACAAAGUUCUCUUAUAGAACAUAAUAAAGGUACUACCUGAUAUUAGUUAAAAAAAGGAUUUUAUUUCAAUUAGUCAAUAAAACUAUAUUCGCACAUUAAGAUGCAAUGGAUAACUUUUAGUACCUCAUUAAUACAUAUUAAAAAAAAAUGACUGUCAAACUCAUAAGACAGUUUUUUUAACACUACUUGCAAAUACUCAGGAUAAUGUGAUCCAUAUGUCCAGUUGGCUACAGAAAAAGUCCUAUUAGAGAGGCUUGCCUGAGCUGCUCAUGAACAGCUCGGUUCUUUCCAGCCCUGCCAUCAGGGCCCAAACUGUAAGGCAAUGUACUUAUUAAUGUCAAGCAGGAAAACAUCAAAGUAAACAUGGGUAAGCUAGUACAUUAAAUUUGUGAGGAAAGACAGACAAAAAAGUAAAUUGUCAAGACCGUAACAAACUAACAAUACAAAUUCUGCAAUGAAGAAAAAAAAAUUGCAUGCAACCAUACCUUCUGGCAAAGGUAUCCUCUACUUCCAAGCAAACGACAGGCUAUUUGUCUAGCAGAAAAGAAUUGGAGCUUCUUUUCAGAAUCCCUAAGAGAGUUAUAGAGUGCUCUAUGUUUUAUAUCCUCCUGAACCUUGAAACUGCCCUACAAAAGCCAACACAAAAAAAAAAUGCAACAAUUUGUAGCUCUAAAUCACACUAAUUUGAACAAGUGUGUAACAUCAAAUUGACUGCCAUUAAUUAGCAGAUAACAGAAUGAUGUCUAAGCAUAACUAAUACAUAUUGCAAAGUAAUCUAGUAUCCGAUAAAUUUCCACUUAAAGUCAUAAAGGAUCAUUUUCUUCAAAUAUAACAUGGAGUAUGAGGUUCCGAAGGAAUCAUCCAAUUUAAAAACAAAAGUAACCAAUGUGCCGAACAGAUUCAAUGUAAUUACAACAGAUAUUUAAUCAAAACGUACACCACUAAAUAGGUUGAAGAACCAAUUUCCAUUAAUACAGAUGUGCAGUAGGUGCCCCUAUACCAAUACUAAAAGAAUUAUAUGUAAGUAGCACGAAGCAACCUAGAUACCUAAUAAGCAGGAACUUAAGCAUCACAAAAGUUUUUGUCUAUAACACAUAAAACAACACCAUCUACAUUGAUAACUGUAAACAUAAACAACUGCUCACUAAUGAUGGCAUGACUCCAAAAGCAACAGUUACCAUUGCAAGAAAAUGAAAAGCUAGAAGCAGCCAUCUCAUAAUUAUAAUCAUAACAUCCAGCCUUUUCCCAACUAUUUAGGGUUGGCUUUAUGUAUCCUCAUUUACCAGAAAUUCCUAUCUAGGGCCACCUCUGAUAUUUUUCCAAGUUGCUUUACAUCCUUCCUCGCAGCCUCCAUCAAUAUUAAUUUAGAUCUUCCUCUACUUUUCUUCCAACCUUCAACACAAAUUAAAGUACCUCUUCUUAUGGGAGCCUCCUCAGAUCUUCGUUGUAUAUGUCCAUACCAUCUCCAUUGAUUUUUUGUCAUUUUAUCCUUAGUUUAUGCAAAUCUCGCAAGUCCUUUAAUAUAUUCAUUUUUUAAUCCAUCCUUCCUAGUUUUACCAUCCAUCUUAGCAUUCUCAUUUCUGCCAUACUUAACUUCUUUUCAUGUAUUCCUUUAUUGCUCAGCACUUAUGACCAUAUAACAUUGCAAGUUUUACUAUCGUUCUUCGUUCUAUAAAAUUUUUCCUUAAGUCUUCAAAGUAUGUGCUUAUCAUAAUAUUCCAGAUACACCUCACCACUUCAUCCAAGCAGCUCUAAUUCUAUUAUAUAUAUCUUCAUCAUCUUUCCAUUAUUUUAUAUAACAAGAUCCUAAAUAACGAAAUCGAUCACUCUAUGGUAUCUUUUGUCCAUCAAUCCUAAUUGACAUCUUCAUUUCCAUUCUUAUUAAAUUUGCAUUCCAAUAUCUUUGUUUUGUUUUACUAACUUUUAAGCCUUUAUAAAGUUUUUCUCCAUAACUGCAAUUUAGUAUUUAAUCAAUCAAUACCAUGUUAUCCACAAAUGCAUAGUAUGUCAUAAGGGCUAUCAACCUAUCAUCAACCCUCCACCUUUCUCAUCCAGGCUUGGAAGCGGCAAAGGCAGUGUUUGGAAGCAACUUUCUUUUUAAAAAAAAAAGAAAACACUAGAUAAUGGUUUUCAUUUUACUCCUUAAUUUUUCCUUUUUUCCCCUUUUAAUUAUAAGAACUUAGAUAACUUCUCCUGAUCAAACCUAAAACUACUGAGAAUUCUGGGCAGCAUGCAGUGAUCAAGCAACAUGUGAACAUAUAUCUGUCGACCAACUGGCAAACUGAUGUCUACCAACCAUGCAAGCACAAAGAGACAAAAAGAAAACAAUUUUCUCUUUUUUUUGUUUUUUGAAUGGAACGAAAAGAAGGCAAUUCCAAAAGAAACUCUAAUUACAAUCACUUUGUUUCUGGGCAAUACCAAGAACUCUAAUUGCUACCAUUCUAUCUAUUUCAUACAAUACCCAUUAACUAAAUCUCUCUUAUAGGACAACAUAAUUCAAGAAAAUGACCCCACAAUAAGUCUCAGUUAAUCAGGGCAAGAUCAACAAAUCCUCUGAAUUAAAUGAAAAAAGGUUCUUGAAACUUAUUUAUCAAAACGAAUAAAAUAAAAUAAAAUCAAAUCAAAUAAAAAGACAUGCAAUAAAGUGUCGGAAAGGAGAUGGAUCAUGCCAGGAACUCAAACUGCUACCGGUCAUCUCUAUUGCGUGCAAAACCCAUUAACUAAUUCUCUCUGAUAGAACACUAAGGCAAGAAAAUAUCACAUCAUAAGUUUCGCUUAAUCCCACUAAGAAUUUUUUUUUAAAAGUAAUAACAUGAAGAUUGGAUUUUAAAACUUGUUUAGUGAAAAGAACGCACACAAGAAUAGGAACAGAGGAGAUGGAGACCGCUACCAGUUCUCCUCAUCUAAUGCCCGUUAACUAAUUCUCUCUGAUAAACCGACUGUCAAGAAAACAACCCACAAUAUGUUUCAAUUAAUCCGAAAAGAAAUCAGAAAUAAAUGGAUUUUCACCUUAUUUAGCGAAAAAUAACAAAUAAAAGAUUAGGAUCGGUGUUUCAUACAAUACCCACUCUCUGAUAAAAUGACUUGAAUCAAGAAAAUUUGACCCGUUUCCAUCAAUCCGAAAAAAAUCAAGAGAAAGAUUGGUUCUUUAAACUUACUCAGCAAAACUAACAGAACAAGGAAUAGGAAAAGAGGGGAGGAGAGCGGCGUAAUCACCUGGAGCUUCCCUCCAAGACCGCCGAAGCUCAUGCUGCUGUUGGUCUCUUGCUCCAAGGCCCUGAAGCCCCGGAUGAUUUCCGCCACCAUGGCGGGGACGGAGGAGGAGGUGCCCCAGCCCUGCCAUUCCUCAAGGCUCACUCCCUUGGCCCACUCCGCCACAGAGGAGGACUCGCGAGCGGUGCUGGCGCGCGAGGCCACCCAAGUCUUCUUGGCGGGCAUGGUGGGAGGGGAGGAAGCCAAGAAGCAUCGAGUCGCCGGCACGGCGCAGGCAGGACGGACGUGGAUUGGCAUUGUUAAAUUGAGAAAUUGGAGAGAGGGGGGGGGUGGCGGUGGGGGGGCGAUUCUUGGAAUGCAAUUGGGGACGGUUUGGGCCCUCGGAAUUGCUUUCUUGGAAUACAAUGUCCAUGACAAACAUUUUCGUUCCUCUUAUAAAUAUUAGCAAAAACCCUCUUUAUUUUUUUCUAGCGACUCCUAAAUGAUUUAUCAUGCAUAAUUUGUGCUAUUCUAAUAUAUCCAGCAUCCAUGUUAUAUAUAUAUAUACACACGCACAUAUAUAAAUUGUAUAUUUCAUGUGAUUGUUAGGACUAUGAUAAAAAAAAUUUUGAAUGCAACUUUGCCAUUGGAGUUCUCCUUAUUUUUUUUUCAUCCUAUAUUUUUGGACCUUUUUAAUUUCUCAGAUCUUUGUUACACUUGACAUUGAAGUAAAAUUUUUGUGUCCUGCCACGACUUUUUAGUUGGGCAAGAGUACAAUUCUGUUGGAGUUAUUUUUUGAAAAAUGCACUACAAAGAAAGAAAGUCUCCCUUCAUGGAAAGAGAAUUAGGUCCCAUUUAGCAGAGCUUUUGGCGAGCCAUAAAGCACUUUCUAACCCUCCCAAAGUAUUUUUGGAUGAAAUAAGAAUGUUUAGUAAAAAAAAUGAAAAGUUGUUUUAGAUUUGCUAGGAAGUUAAAACAGUUUUUUGGAAGAAGCUUGUGCUUUUAACAUGUGUCGAAAAGUUGUUUUGAUUUAUAAUUUUUUUCGACCAAAAUACCCAUUAUAAAAUAUUAUAAUUAUAAAAAUUAAUUUUCUAAAAAUAUUAUAAUAUAAUGAUAAUAAUUAUAAUAUUUUAUAUCUUUACUAUUGUAUUAUACUAUAAAAUAUAAUAUUAUAUUACAUUAUAUCAUAUUUUAUGUUAUAUAAUAUCAAAUUAUAUUAUAUUAUGAUGCUAUUGUAUACGCAAAUUAUAUUACUAUAUUACAAUAAUAUUAUAUUAUAUUAUAUAUUUAUGUAUUAAUACAUAUUAUAUUUUAUUAUGUUUUGUUGUAUAAUAUUAUGCAAUGUUCUUUAUGGUUCUUUUAUGAUACCAAAAAUAUUUUUUUAAUUUAUUUAUCAAAUAAAUAUUAAAAUUUUAUGUAUUAAAAUUUUAUAAUAUUUUAGAAAUAUAGUUAACAAAUGAUAAAUAAUUUUUUAUAAAUACUAUACUUCAAAAGGCUCUACUUUCGAUAGCUUUACUGCCAAAAUGAAGCUUUAUAUUGAUUAAAAAAUAAGGUACAUGUGCCACGAUUAUACGUCCAUCUUAUCAUAAGUGGACAUGCUACCGUCCGUAGGGUGCCAUUUAUUUGCUGGGUUGCUGUAAUAAAAAAGUCCCCACCCCUUGAAGUGGCGCGCUGCUUUGUAUGAAUCGAGGGCCAAAAUCACAUAGAAAACUCGAAAUCGGACGGGAUUGCAGUGCUUUGGUAAUCAAAAUCACGUCUUGAAGGAUACGUGAAAGGAAACCGCAAGUUUCUCCCACUUCCUGUUCUCUCAACCCUCCAUGUUGUUUUUGCAUUCACAACAUCUACCCUUUAUCAUCACCCAACAUUUAGCCAGUUUCAUUAUAUUGUUGAGAUCGGUGACUAAGCUGGGAGGUUAGAGUUGUGUAUGUUAAUUUCUUCCUGAGUUACCGAGGUCCAGUCAGCGUAGAGCUGUUUUCUUCGCAGGUUCCAUGGCAGAAAAGGCUUCAAACCAGAACACCCUGUUAUUCUGGGCAUCCAUGGCAGGAGAUUUUUUUUUUCCUUAGGGAGUGCUAUAGUCUCCAGUCGUUCUAUAUGCCUCGGUAUUCAUUGGGUAGCUAGUUAUGGGAGUUUAACCAUGUUUUUUUUUUUUUGGUAUAUCAGCGGCUCACACACGACGAAUGUGAAUGCGACCAAUAAAAUCAAAAAAUAAAAUACUGUAUAAGGACAUUGGUACAGAUCCACAGUCCGCUCAGGGGAAACCUCCAGAGUGCUGAGCCGCAAAGAAAGUAACUCAGUUUGCAGCACGGUUUGUCUCUUGGUAGACGUGCGUAGCCAGGUGGAAGUCGCACUUCUCCAGUAAUCUGCGAAUGUCAUAGAGUAGCGGUCGAUUCUCGAUCGAGCACUCCAACCCUGGAUUCAUUCAAUUAUCAUGGCCGAAUCCCUUCGAGGAGGAGGCGGUCCUCACCCAGUAUCCACUUGCAUGAGAGUUUAACCGUGAUCAAAAUGAUAUCCCACACACGUCUUCUAAGUGCUCGACGGAUUCUCCUUGAUUGCUGGACAGUGGGCGUGAGUUUGGCCCACUAAUAAUAUCUUUUUUGGCCAAGUUGCCAAUUGUUAGAAUCUUGUUAUUGCAACACAGCCAGUUGAACACCUUCGCUUUUUCAGGAAUUUUUAGCCUCCAUAUGAAAGUUUCAAACAGCUUCCAUAUGAGAGUUUCAAACAGUGAUGCGACUCCUCCAUGCGCAAGGAAAGAAUAGCGACUCCAUGCGCAAGAAAACAGUGAUGCGACUCCUCCAUGUUAAACAGUGAUCCUGUUUAGCAUGCCAGCUACCAAAAUGAAAAGCAUUGAUGAGAGCGGAUUACCUUGUUUAAGGCCCUUCCAACUUUGAAACCAUUUCCCAAGUUUCCCAUUGUUCAGGAGGGGGGAAUUUGUGGUGCAGUAGAGUUGAUAUCCAUUUUGAUCCGAAGCUCCUUACCUUCAUAAGAUGCAGGAGGAAAUCCCAUGAAAUGCUGUCGAAGGAUUUUUCGAAGUCAAUCUUGCAUAGAGUGCCUUUGGCCCUUGUUCUCUUACAGUAAGAGAUAAUUUCAGAGGCCGUUAUGUAGCUUUCUACUAUAGAUCUGUUCUUUGUAAGGGUAGACUAUGAAGAGGAGACUAGAGCGUUGAUUACCGUGCUCAGUCGAAGAGAGAGGGCUUUAGAUAUGAUUUUAACAAUGCCAUUCUCCAAGUUUAUAGGUCUAUCGUCUCGAACUACUGAACUGUUUGAUUUUUUGGGGAUAAGAGUGAUCAAAGUGUAGCUUAACCUGAAAAUGUCAGUUUCAGAGUUUUGUAAGGCUAUGAAAACUCGGAUUAUUUCAUUCUUAAUGGUGUCCUGGUAUCGUUGAUAGAAGGAGGAUGGGAACUCCUCUGGUUCGGUUGACUUAUUCUUAGCAAGGCAAAAACAAAGGCUAUAAAGUCGACGUCAACGUCGCACUUAGGAGCUUGGUCUCGGAGCAUUUGGAUCUGUCGCUCUAACUCUUCAAAUUUUUGUGUUGAACCUGAGUGGGGGUAUCGUCACCUGUGGUCGACGAAGCCUCUCCAGCUCUUGGUCGACGCUACAGGCGGUCCGACAUGGGGCAAACCCCGCCUCCGAAAGUCGCUCCCGCGAUCGGGACAUCAGGCUUCGGUGCCGGCUCUUAGGGUGGCAGCAGCGUGGUGAGCUCUUGGGCUUGGAGACCAAGCUUGAUGGGAGCUUCGACGAUGGCGGGGCUCCCUUUCGUCCAUCAUGCGUUGCCUUGCAGGAGAACAACGCCGCAGGUGGCGUCUCGUGGACUCACACCCGCGAAGAGAGGGUGCAGAUUGGACCUCGCCUCACUGCAGGCCUUAGACGGCCGCGAUCAGUGUCUGGACCUACUGAAGAAACAGAUCAAAUUGCUCUGGCUAGACCUAAGGGACCUGAUCUGCUGGUGCAGGUGCUGCAAGAGGUGGAUUUUGAAGGGAGCGGCCGGGUGGUGAUACCCAGCUGCUCAAUGCAUUCGGAGCUCCAUGACUCCUUAGCCUUAUGAUCACGGCUCAUGCCCUUCCUCUAGCGCUAAAUGUUGUGGUUCAAAUUUGGCCCGAGGGUGACCACGCCGGAGGAGUCGAGGGAGUUGCUGGAGAGUAGAGGAAGAGGAUGAGAGCCACCUCCCGCGAUUGACGGUGUACCUGCACAAAGCCUCACCGGUGUUUUCAGUAAGGGCCCUCUAACGAUCAAGUUAGGGUGGUGCUCAGUUAGUUAAGCCAAAAGUCCCUUAGGCAUUACCUGAUGGGGCUAUUUCUAGUCCUUGUGGAGAUGUCCAGGUAGCGGUGGUAUGGCCCGUCCUCAUCAUGAGAGGAUGGCGUGCAGCUAUAAUUUGCCGGUGGCAUGCAGUGUAGUCCGUUCUUGGCGACGAUAAAGCGUUGAUAGUCGUAGUAGGGUAUGAUUGGGGUAACAUGGCGCUGUCCUUGACUGUCGUAGGCCAGCAAGUAAAGCAUGGCGUGGUGGCGUCGCAAUAUACGGCCAUGUAGGAGGGCAUGGGCGCGUACAUGGGUGCGGCCGUUGGCUAGGCCGAGCUCGUCGAAAGGUCGCAUCAUGCAUUUAGCAAAGUCGGCUUAUCGAGUGCUGAGGCUAGCCUAACAUUCCGAAUUUUGAGGUGUGCUCGGCAGAACGCCCCGAGCUCAAACGUCGAGGCGUUUUAUUAUAGAGGGUGCCUCGAGCUCAGCUGGGGCGCGUCGGCGAAUAAGAAAGGCGCCCCGAGCUUGGUCGGACAAGUCGGCGAUCGUAUAGGGCGCCCCGAGCUUAGUCGGGACGAGUCAGUGAACGUAAAAGGCGCCCCGAGCUUGGUCGGAGCGAGUCGGCGAAUAUCCCUGAGGUCGAAAGAGUUUUCGGCGGAGUCCGAAGUGAGGCUAGUUCUGAGCCGGACCGAGUUUCCGUCUGAUUGGCGUUAGUUUCUCUUAGACCGAAAUUGGGUGGCCCUUUUGUUAUGGGCAGGAUGAUCUAUUUCGUCCCCAUUAGUAUGUUUUGAGAAUGACAAGUAAUGACCUAAUUUCUAUUUUUUAAAAUUAAUUAAUUAUUAUUUUUUAAAAAAUAAAAGUAAAAAAAAUUACUUCUAGUGAAUUUUUAUCCUCUUCUCUCAACCCCUCAGUUUUAUCACCCCAACCCAGCUACACCGUCUUUCCAAGCAUCUUUUCAUCUACUAAGCUAUUUCUCGUCCUCGGCCGCAUCACAGGCUCCAUCCCCAUUUUUUUCUCUCUCAACCACCUCAUCACCCAACAUUUAGCUCUCAUCCUCAGCCACAGCUUUAUCUCCCCUUCCUCUCUCGCGUUGUCGGCCAUAUGCCCAUAUUGCCACUUUUAUUGAAAAAAAAAUAAAUCAAACAUACUUUUUAUUAUCAAAAUUUUAAAAAUAUUAUUUUUAUUUUGAUAUUUUUUAGAAAAUAACAAUGUAAAAUGCAGCCUAAACAUAUGUUUGUCAAGGGUCACCAAGUUAAAUCAACUUGUAAUUUCUUUUUUUUUUAAAGUUAAAACCAAAGCUUAUCUCGACGCUAGAGAUAUUGUUACAUCCAUUUAUCUAAACUUGCACCAAUUCUUCGAGUGCGGGCAGAUGAGAUGACGAAUGCCAGCUGUUAAUUAUACAUCUGUUCCCGUCGCCACAUGCAUGAACACCAACCUCGCAGGUGAUAACGGGUGCAAGGGGGGCCAUCCCGCAUUCGUUUUCCCAUUUUAUCUCCAAAAAAAAAAAAACACAAAAUAAAAAUCAAAUAAGAAAACUUACCGACCGGCUUGGAAACCAGCUGGAAGAUUCCCUCACCCUUUCCCACGUCUCCCCUGCACACCCGCUCCCACCGCCCCCCCCCCCCCCUCCUCUCUCUCUCUCCAAAUCCUCCGCUCGAAUGGCGGCGAUCUCCCUUCCGCCGCCCUCGAGCGCCGCCGCCGCCUCCCUCGGCCGUGCCCGCCCCUUCCCUUCCCGCCUCGCCCUGCCCCUCCUCAUCUUAGGGCCCCGCCGCCUCCAGCUCCGCCUCGCCGUCUCGUCUCGCCUCUACUCCUCUAAGCCCUCCUCCGGCGCCAACGGAUCCCUCGAUAACCCCUCCUCCUCCGACGGUGGCGAUGAGCUCCACCACGCCCUCCCCCUGCCGCCGCGCUUCGGGAAGGGUGCGCCGGUUUUCGUCGCACUCCCCGUCGACGCCGUCGGGGCGACGGGGCGGAUGGCCCGGCGGAAGACGAUGGGAGCGUCGUUCAUGGCCCUCGCGGCCGCCGGCGUGGAGGGGAUAGCGGUGGAGUGCUGGUGGGGAAUCGUGGAGAGGGAGGCCCCCGGGGUGUACGAUUGGGGCGGGUACCUGGAAUUGGUGUCCCUGGCGCGCCGUUACGGCCUCAAGGUGCGGGCGAUCAUGGCAUUCCACCAGUGCGGGACGGGCCCCGGUGAUCCUAGCUGGUUUGUUCCAUGGGAUCUUUUAGCUAAAUAAAUUCUGGAUCUAACCUUCCUUGCAUUUUUUUACACCCCCCGGCCCCGCUUUCUAAAUUUUUGUCCGAGAAUCGAAAUCUCGUGUAGUAUCUCUGUAAUUGGAAAUGGGUAUGCUUAGGACGAUUAUAUUUAUUUUCUAGUGAUGUUGAUUUGUUAUCUACUCUGUUUAUCGUAAACUAGUAUUAGAUACAUGUGCAUAUGAUGCUGUAAAUUUAAUGUAUGAGCUCGUAAUGAUUAUAUAAAAGAAAUUGCAGGUAUCUUGAUGAUAAUAUUACUCAUGGUUAGUUUGGAACACAAUACUUGAACCAUACAACUAUCGACCAAAUUCUUUGAAAAGCAUGCUUGUGAACAUCUUCUCUCCUCACUCCCCUCUGAAAGCUCAGGCAUAGAGGUUGUAUUUUAUAAAUUGUCUGUAUUAUGCAUGCUUUGUGGUAUUAGUAGAAAAAAGGAAAGAAAUGGGAAAAAUGACAUGCUGGAAGGAUUUUCGAUAGGCAGAGUUUUGUUUCAUAGCUACUACAGAAAGAUAUCACAAAUCUACAUAAAUGCAUGUUCAGAUUUACAAAUAAUUAUCUCAUCUAAAUGAUUAAAAGAUUAAAAGGAAGAAUCAAGCUACAUAAAGAUAUAUAUAAAUGCAUGUUCAGAUUUACACGUCCUUAUCUAAAUGGUUACAAAGGAUCAAAAGGAAGGAUCAAGCUAAAACAGCUUUUUUGGACAAACUUGUAUAAACAUAAACAUAAACAUAAACAACAUGUUGGAUGAUAUGGGUGCAGUGGAUUUAGGGUUUUGCUGCAUUAUCAAUUACCAUUCAAGACUGAGUCUUAAAAGUGCAAGUGCCUUUUCUCACUAGUUUUGUCCAAGCCUUCUUUCAUUUUCUUUUUCUGCUUACCAUAAAUGUAAAUUUGGGCCAGCCAUCCUAUCAUUUCUGAAUUGCCUUUCUUACAUGCCUAUUUCAAGCAAUUUACUCUGUUACUAAUGUCAUCCAACUACUUUUGAUGGAAGGAGCUUGGAUAAGAUGAUAAUAGUGUACUUAUUCCUAAUUUCUUAUAGAGCACUCAAUCUAUUUCUGCUCCUUGUAACUAUGAAUCCAUCACUUUGGUUUUGACUUUGAGUGGCUAUAACCAUAUAUGGGGUCCCAUGUCUUUUCUACUUUGUAUAUAAAUACUCUCAAGCACACCCUCUAUGCAUAUGCAUAUAUUGUUCUUUCUUUAAAAGAGAGAAAAGGACAUGUGCAUAGGCUAAAAGUGGGAGAUGUAUUUAUCAAGCAGUAUAAAAAAUCAAAAUCUUUAAUCAUAUAAGGGAUUAUAGUUAAGUAAAAUUGCAAGUAAAUGAGAAAGAAAACAUGACAUAUUCUUUGCUUGUAUAAAACAAUGGAAGCAUCAUAAUCUAUUUCAUAUCUAUUCUAGUUUCCAUAUUUUUAUUUAUCUAGUAAUAUAUUCAGGUGACUGAUGUCUUUUCUUCAUGGAAUAAAAAACAAGAAGAGGUAAAGUUACCUUAUGCAGUGGAUGGUGUUUUAAUUGGCGGUCCACUCGCCAUAUCCAAGAAUCCAAAAGCUAGAGUGACUCUGGUUCAUCUGUGGAGGGAUGAGCGGACAAGGGCGGAGCCAGAAUUCAUUCCUAGGAGGCGGAAGUUAGUUACGAGAUAUAUUAAGCCCAUGUUCCGACAUGUAUUGAGAAAAAACUGUGAUAUUGUUAUAAUAGUGAAAAAAAUUAAAAUUUAAUGUCAUUAUAUUUUCCAUUUCCUCUCCAUUUUUAUAAUACCAUUUUCCAUCAAAAUGCUCUUUUGUUCUAUGAUAUUUGGUUAUAGAAUUGGAAAUCCUAAAUAUGCAAGAAAGCACAUGAUAAAAAGAAUAUGCACUGAAGAUACUAUUCAAUUGACAAUAAAGAAAAUAUAUAUUAUAUUUUAAAUGUACAUGCUCAAGCUAUGCGCAUUACUUUCUUUAAAAAUGAUAUUGUUGGAGAUGCCCGUAGCUUUUUCUUAUGAAAUCUUGGAGUGGACAAAGCUAUAAGUGAGUUUAAGUAGGUAGAUGAUCCAUCAUGGGUGAUCCAAGAGUAUGAUAUAAACAGAGAGCAUUUAAAACAAAAUGAAGCUGAAGAAAGAGACAAAUGUUCAAAUUCAAUACUAGGUCGAGAGGCAUGAGAUGGUAAGGUUCCAUUUUGACCUGGGUUUCAUAGGUUUGAAACAUGGAAAUAUCUUCUCUGCAUGCAAAAGUAAGGUUGUAUUUAUUUGACCUCCCUCGGACCUCACAAUGGCGAGAUCCUCAUGUACUGGGAUGCCUUUUCUUUUCAUAGAUAUAGAAUAGGGAAAAAAGACUUCCAAGAUUCAUAGGCUCCUCUCAUGCAAGGUAUAUGGAGAGAGAUUGUUUUUUCUUUUUUGAUUGUGGGAUCUCAGCCCCCCAUAAUAUCUCACAUCCUCCAUAACUAGAGUUGCAAUGGAGGUCUAUGAAUGGAAACAAUUAAAGUUGCCAUGAUUACAAUAUGUGAGGGUGGUUAGAAAGGUCCCCUGUCAAUCACAACUUCCUACAUUGAAAGAGACGCAGCUUACUAUAGGGUAAUAAGGUAAAUAGUCAUAAGAUGUGCAUUGAGCAUAUUAACAUGUUUCUCUUAUUUAUGUAUGGGAGAGAUAUUAGUUUGAAAAUUUCUUCAAGAAUCUGCAGCAAAAAAAAAGAGUGGUACUAUCAGUAAGAGUAGAAUAUGGGAUAUACUAACAGCACAUAAUCAAUGCAGUGAACAUAGAGAGCACUCUCAGAGACUAACUAACUGAUCGAGAAAAGAAUGCAUUUACAUUUUCAUUUCUUCAUCUUUUAUAAUUCCCCUCCUCCUUGAGUACAUAUAAGAAGACAUGCACAUAAAUUAACAUAGGCACUCAUUUCACUGUUCUAAAAGAACCAGUAUUCACAGCCCAGUGUUUUUUUCUUGCAUAAUGUAAAAUGUCCAGAUGGCUUGUAUGUCUCUAUUUCAAAAAAAUUUCUAAAAUAGGAUUCUUACCAUAAAACAUGUCAUGAGGGAUUUUGCAAAAUUAAAUGUUGAUCUUGUUUUCCUACUUAAAAUAUAACCUUUAUCUCUCUUUCACAUUACCAUACAAGUACAGCCACUUAUUCGCUAUCUUCAUAGGCUCGUUAGCAUAUUUUUUUAAAAGAAUGUCCUCGUUUGUGCCAAGAGAUACCAUAGUAUCAUGCAUAAAAUGUGUAGACAUCCAUGCCAAACUUAUGAUAUUUAUGCACGGCACCUCGAUUUUUUUUUGCCGCAUUAAAGGAUACCUCUUCCACAAUGGGUGCUCGAGGAAAUGGAUAAAGAGCCAAAUUUGGCUUACUCUGACAAGUUUGGAAGGAGGAGUAAGGAGUACAUCUCGUUGGGAUGCGAUGUCCUUCCUGUUCUCAAGGGACGAUCUCCUAUCCAAGCUUAUUCAGAUUUUAUGAGGAGCUUCAGAGAUACUUUUAGGGAAUUCCUUGGAGUUAUAAUAACAGUAAGAUUCUUUUCGUUGAGUAUGUGCACUUGUGUCCAUUUUUGGUGACAUAUUAUCACUUUAAGUUGCCUUUCUGCUUUUUGCAGGAAAUUCAGGUAGGUAUGGGUCCUGCAGGUGAACUAAGGUAUCCUUCUUGUCCCACUGAGAAACUUAUGCGACCAGGCGCUGCACCUGAGCUUGGAGAAUUUCAGUGUUAUGAUAAGGUUGAUUAGCAGAUCCAGUUGGUCUAAAGCUUGUGCUUCAUUUUGCUAUUUACAUGCACCAGACUACAUUCUUUCUUUUACCCCUUAGAUUAUGGGUCUCUGAUCUAGUUUUUAAUUUCUUCCUUGACAGUAUAUGCUAGCCUCGCUGAAUGCUUGUGCACGAAAUGUUGGGAUGUGCGGGUGGGGAAAUGGUGGUGCACUUGGUGCUAGUAAUUUGUUGCAGAACUUAGAAGAUACAGCUUUCUUUAGGAGUGAUGGUUCUUGGAACACACCCUUUGGGCAAUUUUUUCUUGAAUGGUACUCUGGAAUGCUUCUUCUUCAUGGAGAAAGGUUAUGCACGGUGACAAAUGGAAUUUUCGGGGGUACUGGUGCGAAGAUCUCUGGAAAAGUUGCAGGAAUACACUGGCACUAUGGUACAAGCUCACAUCCAUCCGAACUGACUGCUGGUUAUUACAAUACCUUUAUUAGAGAUGGCUACCUUCCAAUUGCCCGCAUGUUUGGUAGGUAUAGAAUGACUUUGUGUUGUACAUGUUUUGAUAUGCGAGAUUCAGAGGAACGAAGCACCCCAAAGAGCAGUCCAGAAGGAUUUCUCAGACAGCUUGUAUAUGCUGCUAGAAUGUGUAACCUACCACUUCUGGGUGAAAAUUCUGUGACUAGGUUGGAUGAUACCUCACUCAAUCAGGUCAUAAAAAGCGCCAGGCUUUAUUCUAGUGGUGCUUACGAGGCUUCCUUAUCUUUUAACUAUGUUAGAAUGAACAGAAACUUAUUUGACUCUCAUAACUGGAAUCGCUUUACUAAGUUUGUGAGGAAGAUGUCAGAUUUUCGAACAUUUCGGGCCAAACUAGAUAUCAGAGGUGGUGAAUCAUGUCUAAUAUCAGGAGCUGAGGAAGUUGGACGUGCUUUGGCAUAUCACUGAAAAGCUUCUCGCUCUUUGUGCAUCAUGCCCUGUUUUAUUUUUUACCGGUGUUGAGCACAUUCAUAAUGCCGUUAGAUGCAGAGAAUUUAAGCAGCAGGUGGCCUUUUUUAGUUGCCAAAAGAAAAGGUUGUCUAUGAUUUGUUACAUAGGCUUCCGGCUGUCUCAUGUAUAUACCCAUUUGAUCCAUUUUAGAGGUUGCUGUAUUUUUGUUUAAUCCUUGUUUCUAACUGUAUCCUGAAUUGGGUAUUCAAAUUGAUGAAUAAUCUUUCCACGUGAAACUUCUUUGAAUCGUAUCACUAUCUUCUCAAAAUAUUUUUCGUUAUUGUGCUGAGUUAUCUAGUGCAUUGUACUGGUUAAAAAGGCGGUCUAGUUAAAUCUUCUGCUUAAUCAUGAAGCAGAUAGACUGAUGAUUAUGUUCAUGGUUACAGUUUCAAUUGACUUGAAAAAUUAUAUGCUCUAUUUCUGAUGGCAUUUCUUAGAAUUACAGCAAGUUUAGUGUGGACAUCAGCACUAGUUAUCAUCAGUUGUUUGUAUAUUUAUGACACUAUUAAAAGAAAAGGCAAGAAACGUUUUGAACUGUAAUGUAUUUAUUUUCUCUAUUCUGCAUCAAGAUGUGAAGUUUUCAGUAUGCUUCUGAUAGCAGAACAUGCAUGUCCUUCCAUGGGCCCAAACGUGGUUUCAUUGGAAUUUCAUUCUGGCCAGUUAAAUCUGCUGGCUAUACAGAGUCCAGUUAGCUGGAAGAGAUGCAGGUUUUGCAAAUGCUUAUGGGUAAAGCUAGUUCUCUGCUUGUGUGUGGACAUGCUUUUUCACUCUUGAUCCGAGUGCAGGCCAUGAAACUCAUGCAUGCAUGAUGCAUUUGCAUAUGUACGUGUACUUGCAUGUGAAUAAAUAAAAAAUUCAAGCUUGCAUGCCAAUGUAAACCAUUCGUCUGAUCGUAGUCCUUUACUCUUUUAACUAAAAAAUAUUAAAACCUAUUAAACAUUACAAUCUGAAUAUCUGCUUCUAUUUUGGUUUUGGAUCUAAAUUGGCAGCCAGCUUAAUUCCUUGGGCCCAUCCCUUAAGCAUGACCUGAAGAGGGGGAGCCCCGGAAGAAAUCCUUCACAGAGUGACUCCACGGUCCCUGCUCUGCAGUCUAUGCAUGUAUCAUCAUCAAAGGCCAAGGCCCCAAGGCACACAAGUCAACUCUUAUCAUUCCAAUCCUUGCAGCCUUAUUGUGCACAGAAUGAUAUAGAUUUUGAUAUAUAUUGCCCUUUUUUUAAUGAGUUCUCCUGUUUUUGUUUUUCUUUUGGGGGAUGAAGCAGGGAGAGAUGGUCAUGUAGAUGCUCGUGAGUGCACUGGGUUGACCAUCAGGGUUUACCCGUCUUAUUAUAUACUACUCUACUACCAAAAUUGGCACGAGUAUACUUACUUUUAUGUUAGGUUUGGUUAGCGAGUGGAAUCGGAAAGGGUUGAAAUAGGGAUCGGAAUAGUCAUAUUCCUCGGUAAAUUUAGUUCGUGAUUAGAAUUGGAAUUAGAAUGCUAGAGGAGAUUAGGGUUUGGGUUUGGGUUUGGAGUAUUGGGGCAUUUCUAUUUCUUCAAGAAUCGGUAUGGAAAUGACACUCCACCAACCUAACAGCUAGAAUAUAAGUCGCUCCUUCUCAUUCCUAUUCUAAAGUCCAACUCUCUCCAACCAAACAUGCAUUUAGUAUUAUCAAGAUUUUUUAUAAAAUCCAAGAGAAUGUUGAACUUAUCGAUGUCAUGAAAUGCUAUAGCAGCCAUUGCCCAUAUUAUAGCAGUAACAACAAUAUCAAAUAACUUGUCGAACCAAUAUUUGAAUAGCAAAACUUCUUUAUUGGCUUGAAAAGUAACUUUUCGCUAGCUCAUCCUUUUUGAUGCAUAUAUUGAAAUCGACGAUAUCCUUCAAUACUCCUUGGCAUUGACUUCAUGAUCAUUAUAUCAAGAUUUCGAGCAUCCAGCUUAUCCCAACAAAUGUCAAGUUGCCAGUUGUAAUCAUUGCUUAAUAAAGCAUCGAUUAUUACCUACAAACUAUGAAAUCAGCAAUAAAACUUUGGCUACAUUCGCAUACCUCCAUUUGAGUAGCUUCAAGUAUAUGCAUAUAACAACUUAAGCUUUGGAAUAGCUUCAUUUUUUUUUUGAUGUAAAAGGAGGGUAUGAAGCCACCAAGGUGGUAGCCUAAUGGUAAUGGGCGGAAUUUCUAUCAUCAUGUUCCCAAGUUUGAGUCGCUGCGGCGUUGAUUAAAAUAUGGCUUCAGCCACUGCUUGGACAUGAGGCAUAGGAACGCUUUUUGGAUCUCUAGUAGCCAGGGUGGUGCCAAGUGUGACAUACUCACACAUGGGACUCGAGCCAAAGCCCAAAGGGGUAGUUGAGCCAGGCCCACGGGUGCGAAGGGUAUGAGUAAAACCAGUCGGGAUGCCCAACACACGACCAUUUCUGCCCGCAUCGAACAUUCUUCUGGCAUGUGGGACUCGAGCUAGAGCCCAAAGGGGUAGUUGAGCUGGGCCCACGGGUGGGGAGGGUAUGAGUAAAACCGGUCGGGGUGCCCAACACACAGCCAUUUUUGCCCGCAUUGAACAUUCUCCUGGUAGGGCGGGGGCCCAGUGGGGCUGCUACGCGGAGAUGGGUUUGUCCCUUUCUCCCUCCUUCCUCUUUUUUCCCUAACUAAAAAAAAAAAAGAGGGUAUGAAAACCCACCCAGGAUUUAUUUAUAGAGAAGUUAUUUACAAUAUUAACGUGAAAGUAAAGGUGAUUGUUCUACAUGUAAGUUGGGUCUACCCUUAGAAAAGAUAGGUUUUGAACCCCUCCUCGUGGUGAGGAAGUGAGCGGACCACGUGACAAUAUUUGCGAAGUUAGCCUGGAGACCAAAAUAUGAACGAAAAUGUUAAGUGAUGUUUUGCCAUCGCCACUGUCGCGUGUUCCAAGCUCUAUUGCUUACGAAGGUCUUCGAUAAACUUUCUUAAUGCUGUCUCCCAUUUUCCUUUGUAUACUGAUGUCGAGCUUUUAAACAGUGUUAGGCCUUUCUCUAAAGCCUUGCGAGUCGAGUAAGCUUCGAAUCUGAAAAUUCUUCCGUUUCUGUCUUUCCAUAGAACAGCAAUCCCAAGCCUUCUUCGUUAUAUUCUUUGGAAGCUGCUGUCGCCAUACAGUCCAUAACUCCUCCAGAGUUCGAGGUAAGGUUGGGAUUUGCAUUUUCUGUACUACCAGAUGCCAAAUUUCCUUUGAGAAUCAGCGUGUGAGGAAUAGGUGUGUUGCCGUUUCCUUUUCUUCACAGCAUAAUGGACAACAAGGUGGAGCAUUUAAUCUUCUUUUCUUUAAAUUAUCUGCAGUCUGAAUUUUGUUCUGUAAGGUUAACUAGUGAAAAAUCUCUGCCUUUUCCGGAAUUGGGAGCUUCCACAGGAUUCUAGCUAUUGCUGAAAUAACUCCACCAUGGCUCAGAAAUUUGUAGCACUUGGGUACUGUGAAAGUAUUGUGGUUUUCCUAUUUCCAAGUGAUUGUGUCCUUUCUUGUGCUAAGUCCAAUGUUGUUCAUCCAUUGAUGCAGUUCCCUUAACUGAUUUACUAAAAAUUUUAUGGAAAACUAUGGCACAACAUGAAUCAUCUAUACCAAAUAUAUCUUCUUGUUGCUUGAUCUCUGAAACUACUUUAAAAAUAGGCAGCUUUUUAAACUCAUAGUUGACUAAAUCUAUAUAUGAAAUAUCUAUAUAUUGGAUAACUUCAGUAUAAGACUCUUCUGCAUGAUUUAACUUCUUAAUAUAAAUUUUUAUGGCUGGAUGAAUCAUAGUAUCUUUUGACUCUUUUGGAGUAAUUUUAGAAUUAACAAUUUCUUCAAUUAUGAUCUUUUUUGAACUUGAUGUCACAUUCAUGUGAUCAAGCUCUACUUGCUCUAUAUUUUCUUCUGGACUUGGUUGAUCUUUGAGUUGAUCAAACUUUUCAUGCUCCGAGAUCUUCUAAAUUUGAUCCAAUUUCUAAUUGAUCAAGCUCCUCUGUUUUAAAUCUUCAUCUUUAAAUCAAUUUUGUUCUUCUUCCAAAUUUUUAAGGGAAGGCAAGAACCAAAAUUCACUAAUUAGGUAAUUUUUAUUUGUAAUGUUUCAUCUUGUUAGAACUUGAGUGGAUGACCAUAAAAAUAUCCUAUGCUUUCUUCGACUCUUGUAUAUAUUGAAUAUGGAAAUAAUUUUUUAUACCAAGUAAAACUUAAAUAAUUCACAUAAUCAUCCUAGAUUUCAUAUUCUACUUUCUUCUUGCAACCUCAUCAAUAAAAGCAUCAGUUGACAUUAUUUUUGACUCAUCCAAGAUAUUUUAAAAAUCUUGUCUUAUCAAAUAAGACACGGCAGUAGCCUUCCAAAGUGGAUAAUAGAUGUUGUUUAACUUACGGCGGAAAGUAGUUAUAGCAAAAGUGGCUAUAUUGAUGUUGGUGAGGUCAGACAUGUAGAACUUAUUGAGAGAGAUGAUAGUAGCAUCAUGACGGUUCACUUAUCGAAUCAUCAAAUAAGAAUCUACAUACUUGCACCGUCACACAACGAAUUACUGGGUGCUUUUCAAAAUACUACCUAAGGUAUAUCUACUGUGUCGGCUUAAGAUCUAGAAUAUAGACAAGAAAAAGCAAAUAAUAGACUAGAUGCGCAAAAAAAAAUAGAGAGAAUUUUUUUUUUUGAGAGAACAAAAUUUUUAAUCAAAAAAAAAAAGUGCAAAAACUUCUCUCCUCUACUAGAAUGUUACUAAAUUAUCUCUCUCUUACUCCACCAUCUGGAUGCCUCACCUCCCUCUCUCUCUUUUUCGACACCCCACCCAGAAGAGACACUAAAAGUCCGUCACAUGGAUGGGAUGUUUGAUUCCUAUCUAAAUUUAAAAACUAAUUUUCAUUAAAAUAAUAAACUAUUCUAACUAGUAUUAAAAUAAAAAUAAAAAUAAAUUAUAAAUUUUUUUUUAGGAUAAACAAUUUACUUCCACCAUCAAGCGGGCGCGGGCGCGAUUUGAGUCGUAUGCUGAAUCUGUGUCCAUCGCUAGUGGGUCUAUCCGUCUCCAAAAUGCCAACCAAUUAACCUCUGACACGCACGCGACAUUUGUGGGGCCCACAGGGCAGAAGUACUGGGGAACCCCAUAAAUCCGGCAAUAUCAAGAGAAAAUCUUCGACUUUUCAGAUGUCAGGACGCUUCAUCACGGCAGAAGGUGUUCCAUCCUUCACUAAAUAAUGCUCUACUGCUUCAUCGCGGCAGGACGCUUGUAUUCCCAUUCUUUCAGACCUUUUCGUCCAUCAUCAAAAAAGUUGUGAUGGAAGCUGUUACAGAUUUUUUUUUUUUUCAGAAUUCGUAGAAUGCCGCCAGCCUGGAAGGCAACCUCGAGAGCUAAGGGAUCUUGACCUAGCAGUCUUUGUAAUAAAUAUUAUGUAUAAACUUGAGAAAAAAUCUUGAUGCUAAGAAUGAAAAAGGCCACUGCUCAAUUCGGUGUCCGCUGAGCAUGACGCCGUUAUUUUCUCACCCAAGAUGACCAGUCGAAAAAUAUUAUUUGGGUUCCUUAAUCUGUAUAAGUACCUAAGAUUUAUCUAGCAAAUAACCAAUGNNNNNNNNNNNNNNNNNNNNNNNNNNNNNNNNNNNNNNNNNNNNNNNNNNNNNNNNNNNNNNNNNNNNNNNNNNNNNNNNNNNNNNNNNNNNNNNNNNNNNNNNNNNNNNNNNNNNNNNNNNNNNNNNNNNNNNNNNNNNNNNNNNNNNNNNNNNNNNNNNNNNNNNNNNNNNNNNNNNNNNNNNNNNNNNNNNNNNNNNNNNNNNNNNNNNNNNNNNNNNNNNNNNNNNNNNNNNNNNNNNNNNNNNNNNNNNNNNNNNNNNNNNNNNNNNNNNNNNNNNNNNNNNNNNNNNNNNNNNNNNNNNNNNNNNNNNNNNNNNNNNNNNNNNNNNNNNNNNNNNNNNNNNNNNNNNNNNNNNNNNNNNNNNNNNNNNNNNNNNNNNNNNNNNNNNNNNNNNNNNNNNNNNNNNNNNNNNNNNNNNNNNNNNNNNNNNNNNNNNNNNNNNNNNNNNNNNNNNNNNNNNNNNNNNNNNNNNNNNNNNNNNNNNNNNNNNNNNNNNNNNNNNNNNNNNNNNNNNNNNNNNNNNNNNNNNNNNNNNNNNNNNNNNNNNNNNNNNNNNNNNNNNNNNNNNNNNNNNNNNNNNNNNNNNNNNNNNNNNNNNNNNNNNNNNNNNNNNNNNNNNNNNNNNNNNNNNNNNNNNNNNNNNNNNNNNNNNNNNNNNNNNNNNNNNNNNNNNNNNNNNNNNNNNNNNNNNNNNNNNUAGACCCAAAACAUUCGUACAAAGAGACAUCAAAAUUUUUGCCAAGUUUUCUACAUUACCAAGCAAUCCUCUUUUUCGCUGUAUCACUAGAUCAUCUUACAUGAUCGGCCCGUGUUCCUUAAUCCACAUAGGUUAUGGAAUGGGUCCGCUCUGAUACCAUUUAUAACAACUCAGUACCUCACCCAAAAUAACUAGCCGGAACGUAUUAUUUGUGUUCCUUGAUCCUGUAUAAGUAUCGAAGAUCUACCUAGCAAAUAAUCAAUGUGGGACUACACACCUGCACGAGUGCUCACAUGCUCUAUCCGUUCAAGCCCUAACGUCUUCAUCAGGCUAAGGGUUCAAAUCCAUUCAAAUCUAAUCACAAACACCACGAUCGACCCGUAGUCAACCCCAAUGGAUCUGUGCUACAGUGUUCCCUAGUUUACAUAGAUUAUGGGCCAGGUCCACUCUGAUACUAUUUGUAACAACCCAUGACCUCAUCCAAAAUAGAAAGCCGAAAGUUAUUAUUUGGGUUUCUUGAUCCUGUAUAAGUACUCAAGAUCUACUCAACAAAUAACCGAUGUGGGACUAAAUACACGCCCGCCCAGAUCCUCACAUUAUUUCCGUCGAUAUAAUUUUAAGAUGUGGUGANNNNNNNNNNNNNNNNNNNNNNNNNNNNNNNNNNNNNNNNNNNNNNNNNNNNNNNNNNNNNNNNNNNNNNNNNNNNNNNNNNNNNNNNNNNNNNNNNNNNNNNNNNNNNNNNNNNNNNNNNNNNNNNNNNNNNNNNNNNNNNNNNNNNNNNNNNNNNNNNNNNNNNNNNNNNNNNNNNNNNNNNNNNNNNNNNNNNNNNNNNNNNNNNNNNNNNNNNNNNNNNNNNNNNNNNNNNNNNNNNNNNNNNNNNNNNNNNNNNNNNNNNNNNNNNNNNNNNNNNNNNNNNNNNNNNNNNNNNNNNNNNNNNNNNNNNNNNNNNNNNNNNNNNNNNNNNNNNNNNNNNNNNNNNNNNNNNNNNNNNNNNNNNNNNNNNNNNNNNNNNNNNNNNNNNNNNNNNNNNNNNNNNNNNNNNNNNNNNNNNNNNNNNNNNNNNNNNNNNNNNNNNNNNNNNNNNNNNNNNNNNNNNNNNNNNNNNNNNNNNNNNNNNNNNNNNNNNNNNNNNNNNNNNNNNNNNNNNNNNNNNNNNNNNNNNNNNNNNNNNNNNNNNNNNNNNNNNNNNNNNNNNNNNNNNNNNNNNNNNNNNNNNNNNNNNNNNNNNNNNNNNNNNNNNNNNNNNNNNNNNNNNNNNNNNNNNNNNNNNNNNNNNNNNNNNNNNNNNNNNNNNNNNNNNNNNNNNNNNNNNNNNNNNNNNNNNNNNNNNNNNNNNNNNNNNNNNNNNNNNNNNNNNNNNNNNNNNNNNNNNNNNNNNNNNNNNNNNNNNNNNNNNNNNNNNNNNNNNNNNNNNNNNNNNNNNNNNNNNNNNNNNNNNNNNNNNNNNNNNNNNNNNNNNNNNNNNNNNNNNNNNNNNNNNNNNNNNNNNNNNNNNNNNNNNNNNNNNNNNNNNNNNNNNNNNNNNNNNNNNNNNNNNNNNNNNNNNNNNNNNNNNNNNNNNNNNNNNNNNNNNNNNNNNNNNNNNNNNNNNNNNNNNNNNNNNNNNNNNNNNNNNNNNNNNNNNNNNNNNNNNNNNNNNNNNNNNNNNNNNNNNNNNNNNNNNNNNNNNNNNNNNNNNNNNNNNNNNNNNNNNNNNNNNNNNNNNNNNNNNNNNNNNNNNNNNNNNNNNNNNNNNNNNNNNNNNNNNNNNNNUGCUACCAGGAGAACAUUGCCGACCAAAUUUUUUCUUUAAAAAAAGGUGAGCAAAGCGGUGAAUAAAAAAGAAAGAAAAAGAUGGUGGUGGUGGCGGUGAUAGUCGGAUAUAUGUAGGAUUUGUAUCUUUCACAUGAAGGAUUAGAUUGAUUCGCCUUCUUUUGCGGAAAUCCACUGUUGGAUUGUAUAAGAUUGCUUUGGGAGCUACGCAAUUGAAUGAUUGUAGAAUUUCAAGAUGCUUUGAUAUUUGUGCAAGAUGAGAUCCAACUGUCGAUGCUGCGGAAGAAUAUCCACCGUUCUUUCGUGGGAAAGAGGCAAACCGAACCCGUCAGAUGUGGAGGGCGGAAGGCAAGCUGGCUCGAGUCAAUGCACCGCAUUGUUUAAUUUCCAUGGCCCAAACCUGUACGGGUUAUGUCUUGGACAAAAUAAAGGUAUCCCCAAGCGACUCGAGUGAACAAAGUGCUCGUGCCCUCGAAAUCUCUAAUCCCAAAUAGCCCCCAGGGCCCCACCUGGGACUCUCAUCAGCGACAUAUCCAACCCUGCCGAUUACCGCAAAACAAUCUCCAUUCAACGCCAGCAGCCGCAGCGGCGAAGAAACGAAGAGCAAAACCCCAGCGAACGAGCGAACGAACGAACGACGUCUGAACUGGACAAAGACUGAAGUGAAGCAAAACCCUAGCGAUCUAAACAGAGAAAAAGGGAAAAUGGAGAGAUCGCGGUCGAAGAGGAGCUACCAUUACGACCCGGACUCCAACUCCCAAAGUCCUCCCCACCGCUCCAAGCCCCGCUACGACGGCGGCCACCACCGCCGGGGCAACCACCACCGCCGGGGUGGAGACCGCCGCGCCCCGCCACCUCCCCCUCCCCCUCCCCCGCCACCGGCGACGGGGGCGGCGGCGGCGCUGCCCUCCUCCUCCUCUGCCUCCUCCCCCAAGAUCCAGGAAGGCGCGGCGCCACCCAGCGCGGUCACCACCUUUUUCCGCAUUCUGUGCCCCGACUCGAAGGUCGGCGGUGUGAUCGGCAAGUCCGGGAGCAUCAUCAAGACUUUCCGGCAGGAGACUGGCGCGUGGAUCAACGUCCAUCCGCUGGUCCCCGGCGACGACGAGCGGAUCAUCGAGGCGGCGGACAACCGCCGCCGGGAGCCCGACGGCCGACCCCCGCAGUACUCCCCUGCCCAGGAGGCCCUGGUGCUGAUUCACGAGCGGAUCGUGGAUGCGGAGUUCGAGUAUAGCGGCGGCGGGGACGAGGAGGACGAGUAUAGCGGUGGCGGCAGUGGUGGAGGCGGAGGAGGGUGGGGCGGUGGAGGAGGAGAGAGGCGAAGGGAUAGGGCGCGGGUAACGACGAGGCUGGUGGUGCCGAGGACACACGUCGGGUGCUUGCUGGGGAGGGGAGGGAAGAUCAUUGAGCAGAUGAGGAUCGAGACCAAGACCCACAUCCGAAUCUUGCCGCGGGAUCAGUACACUCCUCAGUGCGUCUCGACUUCGGAGGAAGUCGUUCAGGUAGCACUAAUGCCUUCCAUUGCUGCGAUCGUUCUCAAUUAUUUGCUUGUUUCUUGCUGCGAGCCAGUUUCAAUGCUUUGCGUGCUCGGAAAAAGUGGAUGCUGAAGUUUCCGUAACAGAGUGAGCUUAAAGUUGAGAAAUUUGGACAUGUUCAGUCCAUCGAGUAAGAUACAGAUUUCUGAACAUGAUCAAUUAUAAUCAUUGCAUCAUGGGCCCAUUCAAAAGACAUUGGAUCACAUGAAUGUUGAUUGAUUAGCAUACAAGCAGGUGAAAAAAAAAAAAUCUUUUGAACAGGUGAUGCUAGUUGAAAUAGAGGAAUCUUGGAAAGAUUUUGAUGCAUCUUAUGGAUUUACUGGUGAGGAGCAUUGCUCUUACUGUUUAGCCUCCACAUCCACCAAAAUUCAUUCCCCUCUUAAUUAAACAUGCUUAAUAGUCACAAGGUGAUUCAAUACAUGUUUGCACAUAAUUUCUACAGAUUCUUGCUGAACUUUGAGAUACUAUUUUUGGGGUCUUCAUUCAUUCAUUUUAUUUUUGUCCUUUCACAAUUUCUUUCAAAAAUUAAACAAUUUUUUUUCCUGGAUACUAUUUUGAAUUUAAUUUUGUGCUCCUAUAUUUCUGAGGUAGUGAAUUGAUGCAACUAUGUUGUGGUGGAAGACUACGGUGGAGGUGCACUUGGUGAGGUGGAGAUUCAAGACCAAUGUCCAAUCUGUUUUAUGGAUAAUCAAGUUUGGCGGAGUCAUAUGUAGCGGAAGUGCUAUUCAAGUAUUAGCCCUUUAUAUGGUGUACUGCAUGUACGCUUGUUCAUUGCAGAGUGGUUAAGUAAUUGUCUUUUAUCAAUAGCUAAUACGUUGGUUUCUCUAGGUCGCUUGCCAAUACUAUUCACGAAUGCUUUGAUACUAUAUGAGGUUUUGGGAUGGCGCUGAAGUACAUUUAAAAGGAAAACUCAUAUUUGCUUGCUUAGAUGGGAUUUAAUUGAGAACAUGUUGUAGAUUAGUGAUUUCUACUGUUCCUGGUAUGGCCAACCCUUCUGAUCCCAGCAACUAGUUUAGAGACUCUCUCUGUGCAUGUAUGCUUUCUUGAUUGAUAACAUGCUUCUUUGACUGUCCAAAAACAGAUUGUGGAAAUUUGUUAGUAAGGCCCUUUCACAUUUUUCUUUUUGUAUAUUUUGGUGCUAACCUAGCUCAUAUGUAAUAGUUCUCUGAAAUUCACCUUUGUAUAUUGUUACACUUUCUCCAUAGGUUGUUGGAGAAGGCAAUUGUGUGAAGAAAGCUGUUGCAAUCAUCUCAUCUCGUUUAAAGGAGAGCUUGCAUCGUGAUCGUGGAGCUUUUCGUGGGCGAUUACAUUCACCAGACCAUUACAUUCCCCCUGAUGAUGAGUUCGCCAACAGUACACAACAUCCGUUGGCGGUGGAAGAAUCUGACUUGGGACCACGAUCUACUGUGGGUCAAAAUAGAGCUAGAAUCAAUUCAUAUAGUUCAGACCCAUCUGGAUAUGCAUUUGAUUCUGAUGGAAAUACUCUGAAUGAUCACUCACAGUCAUUAUCCUAUGAGGACCUUGUGUUUCGAAUUCUUUGCCCCAAUGAUAAAGUUGAGAGUGUUAUGGGAGCACCAAAUGGAAUUAUUGAAAUGCUCCGAGCUGAUAUAGGUGUGGAUGUGCAGGUUCCUGAUCCUGUACCAGGUUCUGAUGAAAGAAUCAUUAUCAUCACUUCUGAAGAGGUGGUAGUUUAUGGCAUCUUUCUUUAAUUUUUACUAAUUGUCUCGUUCAUAGUAUCAGCUAAAAUCACAGUAUAAUAUGAUGCUUAAUAUUAUGCUAGGUUAUGUCAUUUCAAGGUUUGUAAUGUUCUAUCUUGGCAAACAGUUAGGUUUUCUUGUGUUGCAUAGGGUGGUCAUAUAUCAAAUUGAUGGAAAGUCACUUUCUUCAUGAUAAAAAAUUAUAAUGAGGCCUAUGUCAAGAACAUCAGUCAAUUAUUUAUGCCAACCGACUAUCUUUGUCUGUUUAAGGCAAAACCAGUUCUUUCUGGUGCUUUUGUUAAAAUAUUUUUCUUUUACAAAUUUUUCUAUCUUCUGUGGCAGGCAUGAUAUGCUUUAUAGUGUUAUGUGCAUCACAAGGAUUAUGAGGUCUACUACUUUGAUGUGGAUUUUGGUAUUGUUUUAUGAGGAAUGAAGUCAAAUAUUACAUAAGGAUAUAUCUAAAUUAAUUAUAAACUGUUUUUGACUUACAGAUUCUUGUGAAUUUACUUUUUUACCCAAGAUUCCCGACCCAAACCCCAAACCUGAAGUGGGUCUGGUUCAAGUCUUUAACUACCCCAAGGUUUGAUCAACUUCACUUAAAGUUCUAGAGAAAGUAGCUCGGUAUAUGACAUGUUUAGUGCAGUUCACUUGCCUUAUUCUAAUGUCACUCUGUAAUUAUCAGCUGAACUUGAAGUUCUGAGUGAACAUUCUGCCCUUAUCUUCAUUUUUUUUUGUUUGGAAUUUUAUUUGCCAGUUAUUGGGAAAAAUUGAAGAUUCCUUUUCACUAUCCUUUCAUUUCAUCUCUUAGCAAAAACUUAGCCUUAUUGUUUGGAUGAAAAAAAUUUCAUGCAUUUGUGCUCCUACACAAUUUUUGGGAUAUAUUUAGCUUUAAAAUCUGUGCUCACCAAGUAUGCUACUCUUACUUAAACAACAAUUCUGCAUGGGCUAUCGAGACAGAACUAGAUGAUGAACUACUCUGAUAAUAAAAUCCAUGUGAUGCCUUUCCUGACAUAUUAUUAAACUUUAGCUUCCUUUCAUGGUACAUAAAUUUUCAGAUAUUUAUCCUUCAGUUUAUGUGGAUCAUAAAUAAUUAAAUUGGUUAUUCCAUAGUAGUAUUGAGCAUGUUUGUGUUUGUGCAAUAGGGUCCGGAUGAUGAUCUUUUUCCAGCUCAGGAAGCUUUGUUGCAUAUUCAGACUCACAUUGUAGACCUCGGUCCUGACAAGGACAACAUCAUAACAACAAGGCUUCUCGUUCCAGACACUGAAAUUGCAUGUUUGGAGGGGAAGGAUGGAUCAUUAUCCGAUAUACAAAAAAUGACUAAUGCCAAUGUACAGAUCUUACCCAAAGAGGAUCUUCCACCCUGUGCAUUGGAGGCUGAUGAACUUGUACAGGUUUGUGCCCAAUGGCCUUGAAGAAGCAUGCUUGCUGUUGGCUGAGAUAUAUAUGGAAACUGAAUUUAAUUACAUCUUUGGUCUUCAGAUGUCCAGUGCUAGUGCUAAUUUAAAUUCUGGUAUGAUGUAUAUAACACUGAUGAGUACUUAUACCUACAGAUUGUUGGGGAGAUCAGAGCAGCUCGGAAUGCUCUAGUCUAUGUUACUGCAAAGUUGCGGAGUUAUUUGUAUCGUGACACCUCUGCACCAAAGGAUAUGCUUCCACCAUCUAUUGCUGCCCCAAGCCAUGUUGGUAGCAUUGCUGGGCAUGAAUCUGGCUCUCCUAUUAAAGCUUCAACCCGUGAAGCUUAUCCAGGAAGUGAUCCUCCCAUUGCAAUCUAUCAAAACAUGCAUACUGCAACAACUGCAUGGCAACCAAAGGUAACAUUAUGAUAUUCAUGCAACAAGUCUUGACUCGUCAUUGCUUUUCAAUUUUGCUCACAACCAUACAAUAUGCAACAAAUUUGAAAAGCAAUCCAUGUGGAUGCAUGUAUAUGUGUAUGUAUGCAUGGAGAAACAUUCGAUGUAUAUUUUGUCAUUUAAAAUGCUUCUUUUGACCUUUUCUUUGUGCAGACUUUUCUUGUUCAUGAUCACAGAGAACGAAUCAGUUAUUAAAUUAGAUGGUUGUGAACUAAACUCCUUAGCUGUAACUUGUAAGAUAUAUUUCCUAAUGCAAAUACUUUUUGCACUCCUGUAGCCUGGUUUAUUGUUUACCGCUAAAACCCACUAAAACUCCUUAUAGUCCAAAAUGCUGCGCAAUUAGUUGAAAAUAUGAAAUAUGAGAAAUAACAAAAAGAAACACUGAUUGUUUCAUGCAAUAAAUAAUAAUACUUCCUAGUUUGCAACUAUUUUGAUUAUGUGCUAAGAUGGUCAAGCAUUGAUGCUACUUUGCCCAUCUGCAAACUCAAAAUAUUGAGCUACCAUUGCAUUUUUCCGUUGAAACUCUUGUCCACUAUGUUUCCUCUAAUUUAAUCUACUAUGCCCUGCGUGACCUUUUACACUCUCUGAGCCUUAUGAAUUUUCUUAUGAAAAGCUUCCUAUCUUCAAGAAUUAGUUUCUUAUUAUUUCCUGGGGUCCUACUGGUAGUGCAUAUAUACCAGUUGUAUUAAUUAUAUCUUAUACUUUACGCUGAUGUACAUUUUUCUCUAACACAAAUGCAAGUCGUGAAAUCUGAUGGUUUCCUAGAUAUGUGUGAAAGAACACCAGUAAGUAGUGAGUUAUUUCCUUUGUGGUCCAAAAUAUAUUUUGUGGUAAGGAAGGGCACUCUUCAAUUUUCCACUUCUGAAUUUGUAGCCAUGGAGUUCUAGACAGUUGUUCUUUUUGUUUCUCUGUUAUUAAAUACUUAUUAGUCAUCCUAAAUAAAUGUACAAUAUUUGAUGCUAGGACACUGGAGGAUGUGCAAGUGGAUCGUUUGAGCAGGAAGAGAGCAAUGUUAAUGAUGAAGGGAGGCAGAGUGGUGUGAAAAGGUAACUAUAGCCUAAUUUGUUUGUUUGCAUUUUGAGAUUUUCUUUGUUUGCAUGCUGGCUCAUAUUUUUGUUUCGCCAUUAGACUCAAUGUACCACUAAUCACCAGAAGCACACUGGAAGUUAUAAUACCGAGACAGGCAGUUCCAAGCCUAAUAUUGAGAUCAGGAAGCAAGCUUGCUCAGAUCAGUGAGGUGAUAUUAGUAUAGUGUUUUCUUACUGAAAAGUAUAAUGAGAUUAUGUGGCCCUUAAAUUCUUCUUUGGAAUAUCAUUCAAUUGAUACAGAUGUCUGGAGCGACUGUCACCCUUAUUGAAGAUAGAUCUGAAUUGGCUGAAAAGGUUGUUCAAAUAUCAGGAAGUCCAGAGCAGGCUGAGAGAGCCCAGAGCCUGCUCCAGGGAUUUAUACUAAGUAGUAAGCUCUCUCUCCCUCUCUCUGUGUGCGCGCGCGCACGUGCGCAUGCAUGCGUGUCUCAUUCAUGUGUGUGCCAUUUCAUCUAUAUUACUUGACAGCUCCUUUGAUUGUCACACUUUUCAAACGUAUUUCCUAGCAUCAUGAAUAUAACCUCUCUUUUUAUUUUUGAAAAUCAGCACAAGAUGACAUUCCUUCGAGCUAAUCCAAAGUACUGCUAUGCUGAAGCUCACUCCCUGCAGAGCAACAAUACCUUUUUUGGUGCUUCUCACUUGUUGUUUUCUGGACCCUUUACUGAAAGAAUGAAUGGAAAGUUUUCCAAGACUUGUAAAAAGGUAAUGUGGGGCUUUAUUAUGGUUUAAAGACUUUGAGGAUUGGUUUCUCUGGCUACAUUAAAUGCAAACCAUGCAAGUUUACACAUGUAUCUAUGCCUCACCAUAUUUACGAUUUCUCAAAAAUUUAGUUCCUUGCAUGUUCCCUGCCUUUCCAAGCUUGAGAUCAAGUUAGACUCUGACAAAUAUGUCUCAACUCCAAUUUCUUUUACUAGAUAAUCACAAUCACAGCUGUUCUUUGUGUAGUAUUCCUAUGCUUGUGUUCCUUUUACUGCAGUAGCCUCAGAGAUGUGGAUCAUGAUUUAUCCUUUAGAGCAGUUACUAUUAUUUUUACAAUUGUUGGAUAUAUGACUGCUAAACUAAUCAAAACAACCAUCGACUGAAACACUAAUUGCAGCUAUGAUGGAGUCACAUGCUCGGUUUGUUCAAAGUGUAAUAUACAAUUCUUUGACAGGCUCUUCCAUUAAGUAGCAGGCAAAGAACUUUUAGAUAACAUCUAAAACUGAAUCUACUUGCUCAUUUUCGUUAUCAAUGUUUUGUUGGGCAAGUGAAAUGAAAUGUUGUUUUUGCGAUCAAUUAAUCUGUGGAAACAAGUUCUCUAUUCCAAGAGUAGGUUAAUUAUUUUGAUGGAUUGAUCUUAUUAUGUGAUUCUCCUAGGUCAUAUUUUAAAAAAAUGGAAGUUCUAGUUGAUAAUGUUUUCUUGCUUCUAUGAAGGCUAACUUCUGUUGCACUAUAGAAUGAUGCUGAGCUUGAAAUAAAUUUUGAAGCUUGAGUUGGCUUGGCAGUUUUUGAUGAGCAUGACUGUUUGUGGUUAAUCUUUUGAGAAAAUAACCGGAUGGCUUCCAAAGUUUCAAUGUCCAUUGAUAAAGUUGUUGACCUAAUAUUCAAUAGAAUUAUAAUAAAUUGGUCACCAUAGUAUGGAGGAUACAGUGUUCAAACCUAUAAAAAUUGAUAGAAGAUAUCUAUAUGGAAUAUCUCUCUUGAACUCCUAUUGGGUUGUAUACAGGAAGAUUGCUAGGUAAGAAGUUGAGUGUGAGAUAUUCAGUGUUUCUCCAAUCUAUAACCUUCAUAAGUACAUAAGGUAAAGAUAUUGGCCAUGUUUUGUGAUGGUGGUGAACUAAGUGAUUGCCAAUCUGUGUAUUUUGUUCAUUUGUGAAUGAAUGGUUUGUUGGCAAUUUGGACAAAAUUCUGGUUACUGCAGAAGAUUCAGUUUGGCAACGAGCACCUCAAAAUUCAUAUGAAGCAUAGUUUAAGCCAAAUAACCUUAGUAGUAGUGAUAACAAUGUUACCAAUGGUCAGCGUAAGCAGUAGAUGGCAAAUAAUACCUUGACACUCCAAGAGAUGAAGGUUUUCAUAUUUAACCAACAGUAGAUGAUGAUCACCGAGCGAACGAUGAUUUGUAACAUUACCUGAAGCAUUCAACAUCAAAAGAAUUUCAUCUUUAAAAUGAGGAGGUAGAAUGAAGAAAUGAUGCACCCAUUGUUGUCAAAGAUGCUUCAGGCGAUCGCCUAGGUGCUUGAGAAAGAUGAUUUGAAACCCUGGAGUAUCUCAACAAUACCUAGGCAUGGUAGGUUUAGUCCUGUCUCGCUUCACCUAUUCUUUUAUAGCUCCAUCAGGUUUAUUUUGAUGUUGAUUUUGGUAUAUUGGAACCCUUGUAAAUAAAGGGCUACUCUAGGAUUACCAAUCAUAAAAGUCUAUGAAUAUCUACUUGCAGUAGCACUUCCAGGAAAGUGCUCUUCUAAAAGAUCUUUAGCGAAAGCAAAAGCAGAAGGAACUAUAAGAGAAUAUCUGUUGGAAAAUAAAGAGAUGGAUGACUGAUUAAGAAGGUCUGCUCUAUCCAUUUGAGCUUAGAAACCACCAAAAUGAGGAGGUGGGGAGUGGGCUUGGAUACUAAGUUGAGGACUUAAAAUGAGAAAGUAGAGACUAAAAAGGGGGGAAUAUCAAACAGCAAGUCUGAUGGAAGAUGUGUUCUUGCAGUUGAUCUGCUAUUUGUAGGGGAGCUUGAAACAAAAAUCUUUGUGGAGGUGUCUUGUGAUAACCUUUGCUAUAUUUUCUGUUUUUUUCUCUCUAACUUUUUGCAUUAGAAUGCAUCAUCCACCAAUUUCUGGUUUCCUUCCCUUUUUGUCUCCAGGUACUGGCUGCAUCCUUCGCCAAUUGCAUCAUCUCAUCUCUCCAGGUACCGCUUGUGACAUUCAAGCGACUUUCAUCAUUUAGAUGCAUCAAAUGGAUGAAUACAACUGUACCAUUUCAUCAGGUUUUGUAGAGAAAACCUUAGGCGUGCUUCAUAUUAGACAUUGCUCAGGUCAUCAAUUACAUUCUUUAUAUCGACCUCCAGAUGAGCGUCAAAAUAUAUCACUUGCCUUUAGAUCAUCAUAGCAAGUGCAAAAGUUGACCUGCUAGUUUUAGCUUCAUAUAUGUCUAUGAGGUGAGUCAAUCGGUAGACAUUCUCCAUGUUCAGCAAACACCCUCACAAGAUCAAACACAA
rnacentral:lncRNA from 1 species